AAAGUUUUCGUUUGUCGUAAUCGGGGCUUAGGGAUUUUCGGGAACCUAGUUCUCACGCCUUAACAUCCUUUUACCGACGAGUUCUUUUUAUCUUUGUUCCACCCCCUUGUUUCAAACUAUUCUUCGUGAGUUUGGGCCUAAGAAUUUUCGGGAGUCUUCUUUCACGCCUUAGCAUCUGCUCCAAGAGUCGUUCGGACUUAAGGAUUUAUCAACCGCCGGUCCAAGUGUGUGAAGUCCUUAGGGAGAUCGUAUCAAGUGGUAUCAGAGCCACACACUUGAAGAAUUCGGUAUUAUCUUUCUUUUUGUUUCUUUAACUUCCGCCUUAUCUCAUCUUUUUUUGUAAUCUUCCAGAUCUAUUUAAAAAAAAAAAUAGAAAGAAACUCUAUUAAAAAAAAAAACAAAAAUUAGUCAAAAAAAGAAAAAAAAAGAUCUGUGAACUCAAAUUCUUUUCUUUCUAUCUUCUCGUUUUCUUCUUCAUACUCGCUUGAUUUUCUGAUUUGGUUUUGGAUCUACAUCGGUCUCGAUUUAGUUCCUUUAGAACCGAAGAAAGUCUCUUGUGUGUGUGAAAAUAUUAAGAGUGCUGAGUGAAACACUGAGUGAAACACCAAGUGAGGAAUUUUAAUACUAACGUGUUUGUUCUUUUUACGAGGUACCAAUUUUUAUGUCAUCGGGUCCUUAUUCAGACUCAGGUGGAGAGUGGAACUACUACACCUUUCAUGACGGGAACCACAUUCGUUGGAUCAAUCCGGAAGAAAUGGAUGCCAAGCUCAACCAAAUCACCGAACUGAUGGAACGUAUGAACCAGCGAAUGGAUCGGCUGGAGAUGCAGCCACGGCAAUCCGAUGGAGAACGAAGUAAUGGCCGAAUCCGUGACGAGCCAGACCAUCUAAGGAGAGACCGCAAGCAAGAGGAAGUCCUAGACAAUCCCUUUUACGCAGACGGCCACACAUCUGGAGGAAGCCGUACUAGACCGCGAUAUCAUCGAGGCGUUCGUCGUGAUUGGGCAGAACGACGCGAGCCAAACCACGGGUCCGACCGCGGUCGAGAGGAUCAACACCAUGGACGAUACCCUGCGGCCCGAAACUGUGAACCAGCUGAUCUAUAUCAGGAGCCGUACCGCAGACAAGAACGGUGUGAACCAGAUGCAUCUCGAGGCCGACCUGAUAACAACCUUGGCGGGCUGAAGUUGCGAAUACCGCCCUUUUACGGGAAGAACGAUCCUGACGCUUACCUGGAGUGAGAGAAAAAGAUUGAAACCGUGUUUGGUUGCCAGAAUUUUACAGAGAGAAAGAAGAUCAAUCUGGCAGCUACAGAGUUCCACGGCUAUGUUGUAGAUUGGUGGGAUCAGAUCGUCACCAACCGGAGACAGAACGGGGAUCGACCCAUUGAGACAUGGGACGAGAUGGUGGGUCUAAUGCGACGACGGUUUGUUCCAAGCUAUUAUAACCGGGAACUACACAACAAACUUCGGCGAUUGACCCAGAGCACUAAAAACAUUGAGGAUUACUACCAGGAGAUGAAGCGGCUGAUGCUCAAGGCUGACGUGGAAGAACCGGAAGAUGCUACUAUGGCGCGGUUCCUCAGUGGUAUGAACCGAGACGUGCAGGAUCGUAUGGAGAUGGAGACCUAUCGGAGUUUAUCCAAUAUGUACCAUAAGGCCAUACUUGUAGAACAGCAGUUAAGGAGGAAGAACACUGUCCGGUAUGGAUCCAGCUCACGGCCCAACGACAAACCGAGUUAUUCUUCCCGAUCCGAUGCCAAGCCUAAGACCGAAUCUAAGCCGACUUCAUCCACAGCCGAUUACAAAGGCAAGACCGAGGCUACACCAGUCAGGAACAGAGACAUUGAGUGCUUCAAGUGCAUAGGUAAGGGGCACUAUGCUAACAAGUGUUCGAACCAGCGGGCCAUGCUACUUCUUGAUUCCGGAGAGAUCAUCAUCGACGAUGAAGAGGACACCAGACCGGUCUAUGAUGGCGAGGAGGAACACGCAGAUGAGGGUGAGUUGCUUGUUUCCAGGCGUGUUCUUAUUUCCCAGGAGCCGGUUAGAGACGAUGAGCAGCGGGAGAACUUGUUCCAUACCUGAUGCUUGGUCAUGGAUAAGGUUUGCAGUUUGGUGAUCGAUGGUGGAAGUUGUACCAAUGUAGCAAGCCAAACCAUGGUUGAGAAGCUGGUCCUAGAGACCAUGAAACACCCCCAGCCUUACAGUUUGUGAUGACUGAACAAUCAAAGGCAACUCAAGGUGACUAAGCAGGUAUCAGUUCCUUUUUCCAUUGGCCGCUAUGAAGACAAAGUUCUGUGCGACGUGUUACCUAUGGAAGCCGGCCAUAUUUUGCUUGGUAGACCGUGGCAGUUUGAUCACAAGACGGUCCAUGAUGGCUACACUAACAAGCACACAUUUGAGCAUAAAGGCCGGAAGAUCACACUUGCUCCUUUGUCACCGCGGAAAGUCUACCUUGAUCAGCUCAAACUUGAGCAAAACAGCAAAGGUAAAAACGUUCUGAGUGACCCCUCAAACACUACCUCCACUAAAAAUGAGAGUGAGGAAAUGAGAAAAACCCAGCAAAUGGCCUUUGAGAGUAAACCCGGGAGGUCAAACACUUCUUUAUUUGUGAGGCCGAGUGAGAUCAAACAUGCUAUGCUUUUAAGACAGCCUUUUGUCUUAUUUGUUUUUAAAGAAGGUUUGGCUAGCACUACUGACCCUAAGCUGGCCCUUCCGAGCAGCAUUUCUUCUGUCUUGCAGGACUUUGCCGAUGUAUUUCCGGAGGACGACCCACGCGGCUUACCCCCGAUCCGAGGGAUCAAACAUCAGAUCGAUUUCAUGCUUGGUGCCUCACUGCCAAACCGUCCUGCUUACCGAACCAAUCCGGUGGAGGCUAAGGAGCUGCAACGGCAAGUCGACGAGCUUAUGGCCAAGGGUUAUAUCCGGGAGAGUAUGACCCCAUGUGCUGUACCCGUGUUGCUGGUGCCAAAAAAGGAUAGAACCUGGAGGAUGUGCGUGGAUUGCAGAGCCAUCAACAACAUAACAGUUAAGUACCGCCAUCCCAUUCCGAGGUUACAUGAUAUGCUAGACGAGUUGCAUGGGUCUUGCAUAUUUUCUAAGAUUGAUUUGAAAAGUGGAUAUCACCAAAUCCGGAUGAAGGAAGGUGAUGAAUGGAAAACGGCUUUCAAAACUAAGCACGGUCUUUAUGAGUGGCUAGUCAUGUCCUUUGGUCUUACCAAUGCACCUAGUACUUUUAUGCGUCUGAUGAACUAUGUUCUUAGGUCUUUUAUAGGUGUUUUCGUUGUAGUUUACUUCGAUGAAAUUUUAAUUUAUAGCAAGACCUUAGAGGAACACGUUUUGCAUUUGAGAAAGGUGUUAGAUGUGCUUAGGCAAGAAUGGCUGUUUGGAAAUUUCAAGAAAUGCUCUUUUUGUACGGAUAACGUUGUCUUUAUAGGCUUUGCUGUGAGCUCGCAGGACAUUCAGGUCGAUGAAGAAAAGAUCAAGGCCAUUCGGGAUUGGCCGAGUCCAAAGACGGUUGGAGAAGUCAGGAGCUUUCACAGAUUGGCUGGGUUCUAUCGACGGUUGUCCGAGAUUUCAGUACCAUAGCCGCACCAUUGACCGAGGUCAUCAAAAAGGAUGUGGGCUUCAAGUGGGAACAGGCUCAGGAGGACGCCUUCCAUCUUCUAAAACACAAGCUUACUCACGCACCCUUACUUGUCUUACCAGAUUUCUUUAAAACCUUUGAAAUUGAAUAUGAUGCAUCUAGUGUAGGUAUCGGGGCUGUGCUGAUGCAGGAGAAGAAACCAGUCGCGUUCUUUAGUGAAAAACUGGGUGGAGCCACUCUUAACUACCCAACCUAUGACAAGGAGCUCUACGCCUUGGUCUGUGCACUCCAAACUUGGCAACAUUACCUCUGGCCGAAGGAGUUCAUGAUUCACACAGACCACCAGUCUCUCAAGCAUCUUAAGGACCAGCAGAAGCUGAAUAAGAGGCAUGCCCGGUGGGUGGAAUUCAUAGAGACAUUUCCGUAUGUUAUCCAAUACAAGCAAGGCAAGGAAAACGUCGUGGCCGAUGCUUUAUCCCGGAGAUACACACUGAUCUCUAUCCUGGACGCCAAGGUCCUUGGUUUCGAACUGAUUAAGAAAGCUUAUGCUUCUGAUCCAGAUUUCCAGGAAGUUUACGAAUCCUGUCUUAAGUUUGCUUCGGGAAUAUAUUUUCGGAAUGAUGAUAUCUGUUUUAUGAGAAUCGCCUUUGCAUACCUAACGUUUCUCUUCGUGAUUUACUUGUUGGGGAGGCUCAUGGAGGCGGUCUUAUGGGACAUUUUGGAGUAACUAAGACUCUGGCCGUGGUACAGGAACACUUUUUUCUGGCCACACAUAAAACGAGAUGUGGAACGGAUCUGCAGUCGGUGCACGGCCUGUAAGUACGCUAAGUCCAAAAGCUAAAACCAAGGUUUGUACUCUCCUUUACCCAUUCCUAUUGUACCUUGGACCGACAUAUCGAUGGACUUUGUGUUAGGUCUGCCUAGGACUAGACGUGGUAGGGACUCGAUCUUUGUUGUGGUAGAUAGGUUUUCGAAAAUGGCACAUUUUAUACCAUGCCAUAAGACCGACGAUGCAUCAAAUGUUGCUGAUUUUUUCUUUAGGGAAGUUGUGCGUUUGCAUGGAAUGCAUAGGACCAUAGUCUCGGAUAGAGAUACAAAGUUCCUUAGCUAUUUCUGGAAGACCCUCUGGUCUAAAUUAGGAACCAAGCUUUGUUUCUCUAUGACUUGUCACCCACAGUCCAACGGUCAAACCGAGGUGGUCAAUAGGACCUUGUCUAGUCUUUUGAGGUCUGUGAUUAAGAAGAACAUUAGGACUUGGGAAGAUUGUUUACCCCAUGUCGAGUUUUCUUACAAUCAUGCUGUGCAUUCUAGUACUUUGUAUUCACCAUUUCAGCUUGUAUAUGGUUUUAAUCCGCUUACUCCUUUGGAUCUCACUCCUUUACCUUUGAGUGAACGUGUAAGUAUGGAUGGCAAAAAGAGAGCUGAGUUGGUUAAGCAGAUGCAUAAGAAAGCCAAGAUGAACAUCGAGCAUAAGACGGAGCUGUACCGAAAGUAUGCCAACAAAAAUCGGACUGAGAAGGAGCGAUUUCCGGAAGAGAGAAAAUCCAAGUUGCUGCCAAAAGUGGACGGUCCCUUCACCAUUUUGGAGAAGAUCAAUGACAACGCUUACAAAAUUGAUCUCCAAUGUAAGUAUGCUGUUAGUUCCAGUCGGGGGGGGGGGGGGGGAAGAAGGGAACAUGGAACCAGAGGCUGAACCACGGGUCAAAGAUCAAGUCAUGGAGCAGGAACCGGACGCGGCUUUGGUCAUUCCGGACGGGCCAAUGACGAGAUCACGCACCAGGAGGUUGGCCAGAGCCGUUCAGAAGAUACUUACCGAGCUCAGGAACCAGAACAUGGAACCAGCAACAACAGAAGCCAUGACCCUUCUCACGUACCAGGGUACUUACUGACUUCAGUCUGGUAUAGUUUUUGGUACUCUUUUUCCUUACAUCUGGGUUUGUCCCAAUGAGUUAACCGGAUGGGUUUUAAUGAGGUCAAAAGCUAUACCACCACACGGCCGCAGUUCAGUACGUGCUUGGUUCACGGGUCAGAAGCUCAAGGGGCAUUUUCGCUGAAGCAGCUCAAGGGUCAGUCAAAGCUAGGUGAAGAGUCAGUCCAAGUUUUUAGUCAAAAUCAUUUAUUUUCUAUGUAAUUUCCUAUGCAUGACCCUUGGUCUAAUCCGCCCUUAUAUAAAGGGAUGAACCCUUCUCAUUUUCGGUCAUUCACUUUUCUUUAUAAAAUUUUGAGACUUUUCUCCUUUGUUCUUUUGAGAACUUUGUUGAUUCUCAGGUGGUUAGCCUAGAAUUAUUUUCGGUUUAUCAAGUUCAAUCCAUAGAACUUGAUGCAUCCUUCGUCUGUAAAGUUUAAAGUUUUCGUUUGUCGGAAUCGGGGCUUAGGGAUUUUCGAGAACCUAGUUCUCACGUUUUAACAUUUUCUUACCGACGAGUUCUUUUUAUCUUUGUUUCACCCCUUGUUUCAAACUAUUCUUCGUGAGGUUAGGCCUAAGGAUUUUCGGAAGUCUUCUCUCACGCUUUAGCAUCUGCUCCAAGAGUCGUUUGGAGUCAAGAAUUUAUCAACCUUCGGUCCAAGUGUGUGAAGCCCUUAAUAAGAUCGUAUCAUUUAUUUAGUAGAUCUGAGUGUUUCUUGAAUUAUAUUUGUCCAUAAUCCAAAAAUGGAACAGAGGAAACAGCAUGACACGUAAAGUAAUUAACUUUCUAUGUAGAACUAGUCUGCUCCAUGGAAGUUUGCUUCGGGUAAGCAACUCAAAUAUUACUUAUACUUUAUGCGUUUGUUAGUGGCAAUCAAAAACAAACUAAACUUCUUCAUGCUUUGUGUUUUUCCCUUUUACUUGUAUAGUUCAUAGAUCUGAUAAGUGACACAAAGUGGUAAAUGAAAAAAAGAGAACAGUAAAUAGUACCAAAAAUACUUAAAGAAGAAAAAAAUAAUGAUACAAAAAGUUGAAAAUAUCGUUUUUGGUACGCUAGUUCUUACUGUAUUUGUGAUUGUAACUACUGAAUUGAUAGAGUCCACAGUAUGAAAUCAGUAAAUUACCAAUUAAACAUUUGUACCGCACUGUGUUCUCUCAUUACUGAAAACUACUCAUUUUAUAUAUAAAUAUAACUGAGAUUUUUUUUACCGAAAUCUAAAUUAAUUUUUUAAUUUUUAGAUAUAUAAAAAAAUUAAAUAUUUUAGUUAUUUGAUGACAGUGACUAACAAUAAUUGGAAUCAAGGCCGACUAAAAGCCACUCCAACCAGACAGCAAAACACUAAAUUUGGUGUUAAAAUUACUCCAACCGAAUGGUAUAUGAGACGCUAUAUUUUUGUUUUUGCCGUUUCAUGAACAGUAUCACACCAUAUUUGGUAUAACACUCUUCAUCACACUAAAUAUUAAAAUAUUAUUAUUUUUAGUUGUUCUAUUAUAUAAUAUAAUUAGUUUGUUGUUUAUUCAUUGAUUAAAUAUGUAGCUAAAAAAAAUAUGACAUUGAUAUUUUUGUAUAAAUCAUUUUAAUGAUACAAAAAUUUAUUUGUAACAUAAUAUUUUUUCCCUCAAAUAAGAAUAUUUUAAAUAUAUAUAUACUUUUAUUUUAUUAUUAAUUACAAAGAACACUCAUUAUUUCUAAAUUUAUAAAUUAUACACAAAUAUUUACUUGUUAGUUUUGAUUUUUGGCUUUAUGGAUAUGUUCUACUAAAUGUUUUAAUGGUUUUAUAGAAAAACUUUAAUAUACCACACUAUCUCUUUGUGUUAACUUUAUUUUUUUUAAAUAUAAUUUUAAUUACAUAAUUUAAAUAUUUGUUUGUUAGUUUUGACUUUUGGCUUUAUGGAUAUGUUAAACUAAAUGUUUUAAUAGUUUUAAAGAAGUAUUUAAUAUACCAAACUAUCUCUUUGUCUUAAUUUUAUUUUUUAUUAAAAUAUAAUUUUGAUUACAUAAUUUAAAUAUUUGCUUGUUAGUUUUGAUUUUUGGUUUUAUGGAUAUGUUGUACUAAAUGUUUUAGUAGUUUUAUAGAAGAAUUUUGAUAUAACAUGUUUUGGUAUAAAACCUUAUAAGAAAUUUUAUAAACUUUUAUAAGAAAUCUUAUAAAUCUUUAUAAAUAGUUAUUGAUCAAUACUUAAAAAAAAGAAAAUUUAAAUAUAAUAAUAUAACAAUAAAGAAUAUUCUUUUUAGUGUGAAAUAUAAUGUUAUGGUUGGAGAUAGAAAAAAAAGUAGAACACUAUAACAUCAAAUUUGGUGUUAUUUUUACACUAAAUUUACCGUUUAGGUUGGAGAUGAAAACCUAAACGGAUCAGUAUAGGUGUACAACCUUCUAAAAAUAAAAAUCGGCUAUGUUUAUAAAUCGGUUUCUUUUCAUUUUACCAUAUAUUUUGCAACCUUCUUAAACUCAAAACCUACUUUGAUUGAUAACACAUAGAAAUACUAGAAUUUCGAUUCAUCCAAACCUCUCUCCAACACUAAAAGCAUAUGGUAUUCAACUGAGAAAAAACAGUUGGACGGUGUCGCAAUUAUUUACUUGACUCAAUAUGAGUCAUGACUAUAUGCCUUCUAAACGUAGAUUCUUCAGAAAAGUCAAUUCACCGCAGUAAGAUUUGGUGUUCAAAAUUCAUAAUAAGAAAAUUUAGUUUAGUUUUUUAUUUUAUUUUUUAAGCUAUGAAAAAUUAGUUUUUAAAUCAGGAAACUUUGGAAUAUAAAUAUAAAUAAAAAAGCCAUAGUUCAGAUUUUGUCUAUAUAUUUAAUAAAAGACAUAGUUCAGAUUUUAUUUAUAUUUUUAAUUACAUACAUGCAGAAGUCCUAAUGACCUUAGGAUAUGAUCUAUAGCCUGACUCGCAAUAACACACGCCACGCUAAAUUAAAAGUUUGAUACGAGCCGUGUGAACUAACUAUGAUUUAUUAUGACCACUAAAGUAUGAAAAUUAUGUUCCUUUCUAGCAAAUUUAAGCCGUUAAUCAUUCAAAAAAAAAAUUAAGCCGUAAAAUAGAAUGAAAAUAGCGUAGAAGAUAAUAAACGAAUAAUUGGCACGACGUUAAGCGUAACUUUACAUGGAAUGAUAGGGAGAAAAGUAGAUUUCACGUCAAUUAUUUAUAUUUUUUUCCUUUUUAUUUGCUUUGCUUUAGUGAUAAUUCACAUUAACUGGUAAUACACACCAUGUGAGAAAUGUUCAAAAAGGAACAGAGUAGGACAAGCUCGAAAGAUAAUUGUUUACCUGUCAUUUGUCUUGUCGCACUUUCUAAUUGUAUUUUGAGAACUCUAUUAUUAUUUUAUUAAAAACACUUAUCAUCUAAUUAGUCACUGUUAUAUUACCAAAAUUAGUUUAGUAAUAGACUAAUAGAAUAAGUCAAGGUAAUACGUCUUGUGCGCAAAAUUGAAAAUUCAAUCAAAAUGAUCUUUUCAAUUUAAAACGUCAGUCUCGUAAUUGUCUUUGUCCUACAAUUACAUUGCCACCAAAUGUAGUAGAUGUAAUGCAGGACAACUCGUUAAUAUUUUAUUUCUAUUUUACUUAUUUAAUUUUUAUAAUUCAACCACUAAUUACAACAAUAGAUUAUUCAAGUGAACGAAUCAAUUUAGAAUCAUUGAUUGAAAACUGCGAACGACACGGCCGGUUGAAACCUGAUCCACAAAUUGUCCCAAACAAUUAAUAUUUUGAACCAAUCUAUAAAAAUUAUUAAUGCCUUCGGGGGGAGACCAAUCAAUUUGAUUUCUCGUUUGAAUAAUGUAGAUCGGUUCAAAUUUCUUAGUUAAGAAAAUCAAUGAAAUUGGAUAAAAAUAAGAAACAAAUACUCCCUCCAGAUUUAUUUAGUUGUCGUUUUAAGGUUAUGCACACAGAUUAAGAAAAUAUUAAUUGUAUUAGUUUUUCAAUAUAAAAACAUCAUUAAUUAUUUAUUUAAACACAAUUUAACUAAUAAUAAAACAAAUUGCAUAAUAAAAAUAAUUAUAAAAAUUAAAAAACUAAUAAAUGUUACAUUAAAAACUGAAAACGACAAUUAAUUUAAAAUAAACAAAAUUUUCUAAAACGACAACUAAUAAAAAACGGAGGGAGUAAUAAUUUGUAACAAACUACAAAAUAAUGAUUAUAUAUAUAUAAUUUAGAUAACAAAUAAAUUUUUGUGUUCUUCAUCUUCAAUGAUGAUAAGAAAAUACGAAUAAAUUUAGGUUACUUCUUUUUUUAUGUGGGUAGCUUUGCAUCAUCCAUGUAUUACUCCAAUUAUUAAUUUUCAAUCGCUCUCAGUGCAAAAAGUAUGUAAAUAAAAAAGUAUUAACAGAAAAUAUCGAAUUGUUUUUCCUUUCUCUAAAGUACUGUCUAAUCAGUGACAAAAAAAUACAUAAGAUAGACGUUUAAAAAAAAUACACAAGAAAAAAAUAAAAAAAUUUAUGUGAUGCUCAACCCUAAAAUACUAAUGCAGGUGAUAUGUAUCUGAAAUUAGCAGCCUCUUAAAUUAAAAAAAAAUCUAGAUUUAAACAUUGAUAAAGACAAACUAACAUAUCAAACAAAAAACAAUUACACCACAACAAUCUAAAUCAAAUAAAAUAAAAAAGACUGAAAGAAGGUUGGCAAUAGGACCCACAAAACACACUGUCAGAAAAUCUUCAGAGUUUCAGAGAAGAAGAAGAAGAAAGAAAAAGAAGAAUCAAACAGUAGUAAAUCCCAGGAAUAUUAUAUUUUCUUACCAAAUCAAAAAACCUAUCUCUUCUUAUUCUUGUCUCUUCCAUUUCCAGAGAAUAUAGAUCCUAAACCAAACAUAUUCCCAGAAGGGACCAUGUUUAUAACCGGACUCACUCUAAUCCCUCCUCCAUGGCUUCCAUAACUGUAACCUCCGUAAUUUUUCUUCAAUGGCGGUUUCUGAAAGCUACUGUUACUCGAUGUAGAAGAAGAAGAUGAUGAUGAUGAUAAAGACGACGAUUGUUGUAGCUUUAUAUGCUCUGUUGUGUGUUUCCUCGAGCUCUGUUUCGGUUUACUCGACGUAGAACCGGUCGAAUUACUCCGGUUUAGUAACGGUAACGGACAUAGACUCCGUCCGUAACUACUUCCACAGUUUAAACUGCUGCUUCUCUUAAACCCCCAAAACGACUUCGUAUUGGGUUUCUCCUCCGUUACGGAGACGUCAUCGUCUUCUUCAACCGGUUUCCUCUGUUUCCUAAAAUCCGGUUUAGUCGGUUCGGUUGGACCGGUAUCGGGACCUUUCUGACCCGGAUUGCGUUUCUCGGGCGGUGGCGAUUCGGGUUUCUUCUUCUUCUUGAUUUCUGUUGGCAAGAUUUGUCCGUUACGGAAGAGUUCGUCGGCGGACCAAGAGCCUUGGUCGAAGCUUUCGGCGGAGUUUACGCCGCCGGGAAUGCAGAAAUCGAAAUCGAUGCUUGAAUUGAGACUGGACGGUUUCGAAUUCGACGAUCGUAAGGGACGUUUCUCGAUCGGAAUUGCAUCGGAUUGACAAAAGUCACGAGAAAAUGAGAUUCUUGGACUCAUAUUAGAAUUUUCCGAUAGAAGAUCCACCGCCAUUAUAGCAAAACGAACAAUUUCCGAAUUCUGAGAGAAAAGGAAGAGACUUUCUUGAAUAUUGAUAGAAAGAUAGAGAGACGUGGAGAGAUAUUUGGGGAAGAAGGUGAAGGUGGAACGAUAGGAAGGGUUAGAAUUUAAUUUAUAUUUUUUACAAGUGAAUUAAAUUUAAAUAAGUGUUUUGAUUUUGAUUUAAUAAAAUGGAAAAUAAAUAAAAAGAAUUUUCGGGUGAAAGAAAUUGAAAAAGUGAAAGGGAAGGAAUAAAUAAAGAAAUGCUAAUAGAAGAGGGGACAGAGAAGCGUGUCUCUUGCUACAUAUUCACAUGCAUGGGCCAAAAAAGGAUAUAUGUUGGUUCUUCACUUUGUACAAUUUUAUUUUCUAUGGUAUAAUUUUAUUUGAUGUAUAUCUUUUGAAAAUUCUUUUAAGAGAGGCUAUUUGGAUCAUUGAUCUGGGAAGAUAUGGAAUUUUUUAUAAAAUCCACUCUUAUUGGAUGUCCAAUAUUUCAAAAAGAUAAUGCAUUUCGGAAAUCUCUUCAUGUUAUAGGAUAUACCAUGUCAAAUUAUUUUACAAUAAUAUACAAUCUACCAUUAUUAUUUUGAAAGUUUAUAAACUAACAAAAAAAAAUCUAGGGUUAUUGAAUCAUUUCUAACUGUAAAUAAAGAGUCUGAAAUUUUUCAAAGAUUUGAAUAUAUGUACUUAUAGUUAUAUACUCAACCCCUUGAAAAUCUCUAGAAAAACUGACUUUUUUGGAGAUUUUUAGAAAUAAUAUUUCAAAUUUAUCAUUUUUUGUUGACUGAAUUAGGUUUACUGGGUACUAUAGAUGGGAGAUAUAGGUUUUUCCGACUCUGAUACAAUGAAAUAUAUUUUGAGACUAAAUUUUCUUUGAGUAUAUAUAGCUUCAAAAUAAGAAUGAUCAACUGAAGAUACCUUGAACAAAUGAAUGAAAAAAUGUAGUAUGUAUUUAUUUUUUAUGAUUCUCGAUGUUAACAAUGAUUUUGCUAAGUCUUUUGCGUAUGGGGAAGAUGCUUCUUUCAUCGAUCCUUCUGCUUUUAUAGCAUUCCAAAACUAAUUUCUCCGGUCAUUACAAGAAUUAAAUUCGUAUUAAUUCUUUCGAUUUAACCGUUCCCCUUUUUUAUUCUUCGGGCUUUGAACAAUUCUUGCUUUGCGAGGUAAUCAUCUUCUUUGUUUCUUUUGGUAUUUUUUUUUUUUAUUAGUCCACUGAAUUUGGAUGAUUUACUUUAAUUUAUUUGUGUAUUGUUCUCUCUAGGCUGUCAUGGAUCAGGUUCAUAGUGAAAUCCAACACUAAAAACAACGAUAUGAUCGAAAUUUUGAGAGCAGGUAGAAGAAUCUCUAAUAAUUUCAAAUAUAAAAUAAUCCACCAAAACUUUAACCUGGUUUGUAGCAAAUAAGUUUAGAGUGAGAUUAAUUCUCUAAUUGUGUGAGUUCACCACAGCCAAAAAAAACAAAAAAAAGAGCUACAUCCCCGUUAUGAACUUUUUUUCCUUCAGCAAAGGGGAAUCAAAUAAAAACGACUAACUUUUACAAAAAGAAAAAUACGGUUAAUACAAACACUACAAGAAAACAUUACAUAUUCCUACCAGAUAUUUCAUCAGAAAAUCGUAGGAAACCGGCUUUUCCUAUCAAUUUCCUACCAAAUAUUUUUGUAGGUUCUAUGCCGUCAGAAAUUUUCAAAGGUAGAAAAAUCGUAGGAAAUUUCCUACGAAAAUUUUGGUAGAAAAAUUUUGGCGGUAGGAUAUUCGUAAGGAAAAUACCUACCAAAUUACUUCCAUCUUUCUACGAAAUAUUCCUAUCAUUUUCCUACCACUUGAGAUUUUGUAAAAAAUAAAAUUAAUUUUAUAAAUUAAAAAAAUUAAAUUAAUUUCAGAAAUUAAAUUUAAACUAAAAGAUGAAUUAACUAUUAAUUCGAUUAUUAAUAUAUAUAUAUAUAUAUAAACAAAUUAAUUAAAAGAGAGAUGAAAAUCUUAUUUAUAGAAUAGCUUCAUCAUCCAAAUUGUCUCAGAUCAUCGAUGUGGGACAAAACCAAAGUUGAAAUGUUCCUACAAAAUUCCUACGAUUUUUUUACACAUAAUAUUUCGUCAGAAAUUAGUAGGAAAUUUCCUACGAAAUACUUACUAGUAUAAUGGUCAAUUGUAUCCUAUUACUUUCCUUUCAAAUUUUGACCGCGUGGUAAAUUAUUGGUAGAAAAUAUCCUACGAAAUUUCGACAUAAUUUUUGGUAGGAAAAUCCCUACCAAUUUCUUAUCACUUUUACUUUUUGUCAAAAUUACGUAGAAAAUUGGUUAUAAAAAUUUCUUACCAAAAAUUUCGUCAAAAUUUUCAUAGGAAUAUGAGAUGUUUUCUUGUAGUGAAACAAUUUAGCAGUACAAAUACUUGAAAUCUACAUAAACUUAGUCGGAUGUUAAAAACAAACAAGAAAAAUUUUUUAUGUAUAAUAUCUCAUACAAAAUACACUGCAUUUUUCUGAAAUGUCCUUCCAAAAUUGCACAUCGGUUUUUGAGUAAUUGGAGGAAAUAACAACAUGUUACUUACAUAAAAAAAUGUUUAGUUUUUGUCAUUUGACAAACUCGCUCUUGGUUUUUUUUAGCUCACAAAAAGAAAAUCAAAAGUUACAGAAAAUAUUUAGAUCGUAUCAAAACCCAAUCAAACCCAAAGUCAAUAAAAGUAAUCUAAAUCCAAUGAUAAGUCAAAAAACAUAUGUGCAAUGUUUGAAAUGUUUAGAGAGUCAACGUUGGGAUUCGUGUUGACUAAUGUGAUGAAGCAUUGAACAUAGACCAAUGGUGCCAAGUCACCGACCCGAGACUUUAACCAUACUAAAGUUUCGUCACGAACUCUAUCAAGUUAAAGAAGUGCAUUCACAUAUUUUAAACCAAAUCAAUGAUGCUUUUACUAUGGUGUACUAGGAAAUGCUACAUUUUAAAGUAUUCCUGAUGAACAAAUUUCAAACGAACACAUGUCUCGCUUCUACAUAUCCUUAUAUGUUGCUUGCGAUAACUAUAACCAAGUAAAAACAAAUAUAUUAGGUAAUCAGGUAUUCUAAAUGCUAGAAAGAUUAGUUGAAAUUUUAGCAAAAAAUGGUUAGAUGAUAGUAUAAUUCUUAUAAAGUAUAAGAAUAAUAAAAAGAAAAAACACGGUGGCAUUGUUGAUACUCCCCAAUCAAUACGAGCAGACACAUAUCAUAUAUAUAUCAAAAUUCAAGAAUAUAUAAGAUUUUAGGUUAGACCAUAACACAUAUGCGUUGUUAUCCACUUUUGUAAGUUGAAUAUGAAAUAUUUAUCUGGUAUCCUUUUACAAAAAAGAUUAAAAAAAAAAUGAAAUUCAUGUAUCUGAUCUAAGAUUUCGUUAUGUUUUUUUUUUUUCAUUGUCACGAUUGUAUCUUCAUUCCUUUUAAAUUUAGUGUCUACUUAGUUCCGUUGUAUACUUCUUAUACAUACCACUUGUAAAGCAGUGACAAAACCCUAAUUUCUAGUACUUAUAGUCGAAAGUAUACUUUUUCUUUUAAAACCAAAAAUUUCUGAGUCUAGACCCAUAAUAUUUUUGCCGGGAAUUAGACCAAGUUAAUUUAGUCUCUUUCCCACCGUCAAUUCUUUGAACCCAAAAAAAUGGGUUAGUUACCGAAGGCGGAUUAUAUUCAACAAUUAAUUCAAAUAUAGCUUCCUAUUUCAAGGAAAGAAAUAUUACUCAAAUAAAAUGAACUUCUGUGUAUUCUAACUAGAUGGGUCUUUAGUGAUAGAGAAGUCCAAACUCCUUCAUUUUAAUGAAUCAGACGAAUCAUAAGAGUUUGCUUUUAUAAAAAAAAAAAGAGCUUGCUUUUCAUCAAAAUAAAAAUCGAUUUUUGCUUAAAGUGAAAGUAAAGAAAUUGUUUGUGUGAUAGAAAGAAAAGAGAAAAGGAGAUUUCAUAUUAUCUAGAGAAUGAUAAGGAAAUUACAAAACAAUAUACACUUGUGAAUUAUAUAUGAAAACAGAAAAACAAAGUAAGCAUGGGCAUGGGUCCGAUGGCUACGUACUUACCGAAAACGAAGAAAGCCACUUAGAGAAACUGAAGGGUUGAUAAAUGGUCCACGUUUUCCCCUAAAUCCUUUCUUUUCAUAACCAUUGGGUCGCCCAUGAGCCCACCUAAAACCAACCCGACCCGAUUAGAUCCAACCAAGAAUUGUCUACUCUUCUUGAUCACUUUGCCUAUUUUGGCUGCUCUCGGUAAUAUUAACAAGAAGUUGUCCAAUUCGGUUAGGGUUUGGUUAUGAUGACAGAGAGUAAAAGAUGGUCCUGUCCGACAAAUAGCAUUGGUGCUGUUUUGCUAACAAGUACCGAACUGCUUUGUUCAGACCAAAAACAAAAAAUAAUCAAUCUGCUUUGUUCUCUACAGAAAUUGAUUAUAAAAGCUGAAAUGGUAAAAAAAAAAAAGUUGUUUCCCUUAAGUCAUGAAAAGAAGAAAUAUUGUUUUUGGUUCCGUUUGAUUUAUCAAUCAAUAUGGCCUGAAUCAAUAUGACCACUGAGAUAAUCAUCCAAAUCCAGAGAUAUGCAUGGUCGUCGCCCUCGUAUUAGAGAGGGUUGUGUGCAUGCUCAUAGGCUUACUUACAGUCCAAUUGACCUCACCAAAGUGAUAGAUUCCUUUCCCAAAAUCUUUUUGUGAAUAUGAAUAACAUAUUUCUUGAUGAUUUUUUUAUAGAUGCAACAGUAAAAAAUCUGUCGGAGGAUCUCUCGCCUACAUUUUAGUUUGCAUAAAAAAUGUGAAGUUUGGUUUACAUUUAAUGUAUACGAUUAUGGAUGUGGAUCUAUCGAUCUGUGUAUGUCAUUUUGAUGAUUCUUGGACGAGUGACGGUGCAACUAGUGGUUCUUGAUGGAUUAAUGGCACAUCCAGUUUAUUGGGUGAAAUCUCAACACCUUCAUCUUUAAACUCCAUAAAUGAUUUGGACAAUGAAAUGUCAACAACAUAAUCACGAUUUAUUUAUAUUUUGUGAAGGUUUUUAUAUGAUGACUUCUGCACCAAAGUUACAUGAAUUAGCCAUGAUUAUUAAGUUUUUAUCUAAAAGUUACAUGAAUUAGCCAUGAUUAUUAAGUUUUUAUCUAAAAGUUACAUGAAUUAGCCAUGAUUAUUAAGCUUUUAUCUAAAAGUUACAUGAAUUAGCCAUGAUUAUUAAGCUUUUAUCUAAAAGUUACAUGAAUUAGCCAGGAUUAUAAGUUUUUAUCUAAAAAUGAGUUAAUUCGUCAAUUACAUAUACAAACAACGUUUAGGCAGAUUUCGUUGCUUCAAUAAUUAAAACGUUUAAAUUCUAUUUCGUUGCUUCAAUAAUUUAAAACGUUUAUUCUCUUUAGUAACUUUAGUUGUGAUGCAUCGAACUUUGUUUGUAUAAUAAAGUUGCAUAUGCUUGUUGACACAAUAUUCUCAGUUUUCUAGCAUUGAUAAGCAUUUGUAGACGAUCAAAGAACCAUGUAGGAUACAAAUUAGUUGUCAAUAAUCUAAAAUACAAGUUAUAAUGACUUUGUACCUUACAAUCUUACACCACUUAUACAUUACAAUUCUGUUGGUCCAAACCACCUAAGAAAGAAAAAAAGAAAAGAUGAAGAUCGUUAUACCAAACAAAAAAAAACCCGCCAAUUUUCUAAAUUAACCCUUUUUAUUAGUAAAGUUUUCUAAAAAUCAACUUUUUUUUUGUCAACAACUAAAACCAAUCUUAGUCAAAUUUUUGAGUUAUCCAAAAGAAGUCGACAUUUUCGUUAGUUCCAAAAUAGCUCAAACUUUAGAGUUAUCUAAUUUUUUUGAUGAUACUACGUAACAAGUUUAACAUUCAAAAAUUACUCUAAUCGAAACAAACUUGAAAGAAAAAAACUGCUGUGGAAAUAAAUAAUACGCGUUAUCUUGAAAAAAAUAGGAAAACUAAACGCGCGAUUUGGUCAAUGUGGUCGUGGAUGGGUCACCUAAUCUUUUUAAUUUCCCUCUAAAAAAAGAAGAAAUAAAUUUUCUCCCAAUUUCCUCGAAGAAGAACAUUAGAAAAUAAAAUGUCAGGAACUGAAAAAAACUACGAAACCAAUCAGAUUCGGCCAUUUCUUUCCCUCUUUUCUUUUUUCUCCCAAUCACUCUUCAGAUUCCGAAAAAAAAAGCAAACAAAGAAAGAAAAAAUAGAUUCUUUAUCACCGGAGUUUUCACCGGACUCUUAAAAGAUGAAUACGCCGAACUGGGAACUCCGGAGUUGCUGUAACCGAAACCAGAACACGUUCCUCAUCACCAUCGGAAUCUUCACCGUCGUUAUCCUUGUGGUUAGUUUUUCCCAUCUAAUGUCCUUGAGAGAAAGAGUUUAAAGUUUUGACCUUUACUUGUUUUCUUCGAUUCAAAUUGAAGAUCCGACAAAUUUUUUUGUAAAAGUUAGUUUAAAGGGUAUCUCGAUUGUAGUGUUUUAUGCAACUGUUGACUUAUAAUUUCAUUCAAAGUUUGUGACUUUUGGCAUCAUAAAGUUUCUAUAUUUGUUCUUGUUUCUUAAGAUCUUCACAGAGAUUUCUUGGUUUUGUUUUUAACAGCUAUGGAGGACAUUUCUAUUGACUCCAUUUAAACUAAUCACGGUGUUUUUGCACGAAGCGAGUCAUGCUGUUGCUUGCAAGCUCACAUGUGGAGAUGUAAGGAAGCUCUCUCACUUCAACUACUACUUCAAUGAAACUAAAAAAGGUUACAAAACUGAUUUUAGGUGUAAACCCUUAAUUCAGUUUGUAAACUUGAAUUGUCCUUUUGAUUUGUUAAAUUAUACUGGUUGAUUUGUGAUCCACUUUGCGAGCAUAACAUCUCUUUAGAUAUGCACAUUUACCAGUCGAAAGGUUUGCUUUAGCAUUGAUGUCUCUGCAUUUUCUCUGGACAUGACUGUUUAGCAUAGAGUGGAUUUUAGCAUCUUGAUUCAGUUUGCAAACAUAAACCGUCUGCUUCGAUAUGGAAAAAUACACUUGGAACUCAGACUAAUUUUAGGUUCCUUGAAAGUUUAAAUGCGGUCGGGGUUCGCUUUGAAUAGGCAGAGAAGAUGUUUUUGUUAUCAUCCACUACUCGCAUGGCUUUCUUUAGCAACAAUACCUUGUGUAGAUUGCUUUAGCAAUGUUUGUCUUUGGAUAUGGCUGUUUAGCACGAUCGUAAAGUUGGCAUCUUGAUGUCGAGUUACGAUAUCCUUAUUUAUUGUGCCAUUCGCUAUAUUCCUCAUUUGGUAAACAUUGUUUUAUCCUCACUUGUAUAUGAUUCUCGCUCUAUUGCUAAUAUGUAAACUACUAAUAUACGAAUAUACGUCAUUAGUCUAAGAAGCCAAGACACACAGUUAGCUCAAACCUUAGCUUUAGGUCGACCGUAGCGUAGGACUAAAUGUUAACAGAUUAUAGCUGGCUGCUGGUCUGAGUUUGUGAGAAAGCAGUUAGUGAAAGCGAAAUCUGUAAAGAUGUCUCUGCAGAUUGUUAAGGCUGUAGAAUUUAUAGAAUUUGAUUGGGAUUCCGGAUGAAAGCCUUUUCAUUAAUAAGUUUCUCUAGUUGGUGAGUGUUAUAAGAAUAGCAGUGUACAGCUUAGCUCUUAUCAUAGUUCCAAUAAUGCAGAAAAGAUAGUAGAUAAGUUACACCGCUCAGCCCAAAAAAAAUCUUUGAUUAUGUAUUGAUUGCACAUUAUUUUCAUCAAAUGCGUGCAACAUUCUCUAUGUUAAUCUGCAACUUCAUUUUUUCAGUUUGCACUUUGCACAGUCGCAUAUAAUAUGGAUAUUGUGUGCCUAAAAACAAAUGUGGCUAAUUUUUGUUUGAACUUAAUCUUCUUCGUAUUGAAUCAAAAAGGUGGAGGGGAUGGAGGUGAAUGCAAAUGAAGGAGGUUCCACAACAACACGUGGCGGCAUCUAUUGGCUGAUCUUACCUGCUGGCUGUAAUAUACAAUCUGUCUAUCUCCCUUAAACAAAUCAACCAUUUUCAAAUUUGGACCUUCCAUUGUUGAUGGCUAAAAGUGUUACAUAUAUAUUUGUUGUAAUGGUUAUAGAUCUUGGCUCAUCAUUUUGGGGAAUGGCUUUGAUUCUUGCAUCUACUAAUCUGCUUACAGCAAGAAUAGCUGCUGCUGGUCUCGGUCUUGCUUUAUUCAUCGUCCUCUUCAUUGCCAAAAACGUAAGUAGAAUUCAUUUUUAUCUCAUUGAGGCAUUGACAUCAAACCAAUGACAUCCAAAUUUUCAACCUUGACAGUGGACGCUUCGAGGUCUUUGUAUAGGUGUGCUAUCUCACGGUUCUUCUUGUUAAAUUUUUCAUUUUUUAGUUCUCAAAAUGAUAGUUGACAAAAAGAUUCUAACAAUCAGUGAAAAAGUCUCUCAGGUUUCAUAGUUUUCCUCGCUAUCAUAUGGGUUCUACAAGAGUUAACUACAGUAAAAAUUCUCCGUUAUGUCAUUCUGUUCAUCGGUAAAUGAACCUCAUUUUGUUCAGUCUUGUUAACAUGUUUGAGUUUCAUCUUCUCCGUAUGAAAGCCAGAUUCUUGAUAUUGCAGGUGUGAUGAAUAGCUUAUUCUCAGUUUACGGUAUGUGUUUCCUUUUCUCUCCCAAUAACUUCACUUAAAGUUAUGAACUUAUGAACAAGAAAGAAGCCUCAUUUGGUUUUGUUCUGCAAUGGCUAUUAGAUAUCUACGAUGAUCUGAUAUCGCGAAGAGUCCAUUCAAGUGAUGCUGAGAAGUUUGCAGAGAUCUGUCCUUGCUGUACUGGUUGUGGCUGGGGUGUCAUAUGGUGAGACUUUAAUCCAAUUUUACACACAAAAAACAACAAAUCUUUGUUUUUUCUUUGUUUCUGACCAAAAAUGGUUUUGAUUUUUCAGGGGAAUGAUAUCUUUUGCGUUUCUUUGCGCAUCAUUGUAUCUUGGGCUAGUGAUCCUAUCAUAAAAAGGUGUUCUUUUGGUUUUGGCUUUCUUGUUUUUUGUUAAGCACAUUUUUGCUUUUGAAUUUUGAUUAAGCGUUUUCAUGAUUUUUGUGAAUUUUUGGUGUCUCUCAGGUUUCAAAUUCUUUCCAGUGAACUGCGGAGUCUCCUUUCUUUCAUCUAUGCGCAGUUUUUUAACAGAAAACAUUUUUUUGAUUAAAAAGCUUGAUUCUUUAGAUCCCUUUGAUGUAUUUACAUUUGAUUGAAAGUUUAGGGUUUAUCAUUUUUUUUUUAUUCAUUUUGGAGUUUGUGUUGAAUAGAAUUCAUUGAUUGUUCUGUUUUAAUGCAUUGUAAGUCCGUUGAUCUUGUCAUCAAAACAAAACUCCGUCGACUUAUUCCUGUAAAUGGUCAUAGUAUCCUCGAUUAGACUUCGUCCUUUCUUCCAAAUUGAUACUUAAACACCAAAAUCUAUUAUAUAAAGACUCAGCUGAGUCUCACAAACUUGACACAUCAGCUUUCGAAAAAAAUAAUUUUCUCAAUUCCAAAAAAAUCUAAUUUAUCAGCCAUGACACAAGUACAAAUCUAGUUUCUAUCUAGAAAAGUCAUUCUCUUACAAUAAAAAGGAAAUGCAUUGAAUUUAUAGUGUUAUUACUUUGUAAACGACACCCGAGAAAAUUGAACGAGGCUAAAAUAAAUUCAUUUUUAUAAAAUGGAGCGGCAUUCCACCUAUUUUUCAUUUUUCUCUUACGCGCUUAAAAAGCUCCAGAAAUCAGGUAUAGCGCAACUGCAGUCACGUUCAUAACCAACAUUAGAAAAGAAUUAAGGUCUUGAAAUAACAUAUCCAAAAUGCAUAUUUCUUGUGUUAAUUUUGUUUUAGUGAUUGUGGUUUUUAGUGUUUCAGAUCAGAAAGGCGAUCAAAUACAUGGAUAUAAUCACUCUACUCUACGUGUCUACGAGGAGGAAAUGAUAACCAAUCCUUCUCUCAUAGAAAGAGAGCUAGGAUCAAGCUGUAUGUAGUGUAAUUACACACUAUAUAUAUAUAUAUAUAUAUUCAUUCCUAUUUUAUGUAUAUAUAUAAGAAAAACUUUAUGUGCCAUUAAAAAAAUUAUUUCUUGUUUCCAUAUUAAUUUAGAGUUUUAUAUGAUGUUUUUUGUUGUUCGCAAAACAUUGAAAAAACCAUAAAUAGUUUGUUUAUUGCAUGCAUGAAAAAUUAUGAUAUCUUUGUAUGCGUAAUGCUCUGGUGCCUAACAAUAUUAUUAGGUUUAGAGCAGAUGAUAUAACAAACGAAGUUGAAGUUUUAGAGGCAUUUUGUCUUCUGUUCAAUUUCUGUUUAUAGUUUUCGUACAUCUUAUAUAUAUACAUAAAACUGACAUAUAGUGAAUGCUUAACUCAAUCUAAAAUCAGUUAUAAAAUUUUCUUACGUAGCGCCUUAUUUCUCUGUCACAUAGACAAAAUUCUUUGUGUAUCAGGAGAAUGUAAUGCCCAAAUUUUAUCAUAUUUACUUUAUUGACGUCCGAACUUUAUAUUUUUAUAACAAAAAAUGAAUAUUUAGAAAGAAAUUAUUGUUUUUAAUAUUUAUUACCCUAAGCAGAACUCAAAGGAUUUGAGAUGAGAUUUAAAGCUAAGCUGAAACAAACAAACGCAAUAUUUUGUAUUUUAUUGUGUGUCUUUGAGUGUACGUAUUUUGUUAAUUUUAUUUCAUUAGUAAAAAAAACAGAAAAUAUAUAAUAAACAGACAGAUAUAUGUCUUAUUUUAAAGAGAUAACAAUAGAAAGUGAUUUGCGAUUACGUAAUUCUAUCAUGAUCUAGAAAAUUUAAAUUCGCACAUAUAUAUGUAUAUAUAUUAUUGAUCAACUUAACUAUUAUAUAUAUAUAAAUUACCGCGUGUACACGCGAAGUUUUAUCUAGUUAUUGUAAUAGUUGUGUACAAAAUAUCAUGGUGUAGAAAAUAAUUGUUGUAGUUAAAAAUUCAAUAAAAAAAAUAAUCAAAUUCUAUUAUAUGGAGGAAAAAUUUCAUAUUUUGUACUCUUAUUAAAUUUCAUAAUAUUUAAAAGUAAAUUUCCAUUUUUCUUCAAAAUUACAGCGAAUAAAUCCUAACUUUUUUUGUUUGAUAGAUAAGCAAUCUUUUUUGUCUGAUGGUAUAAAGAGGUAUAUCGUUUGGAAUCUUCCGAGGUUCAUCUUGCAUUAUCUUGGUUCAUCUUCCAAUAUAUCUAUUGGUUUGUAGAUUAGGUUGAAGAAAAUGAGAAAAAUUUGUAGUAAAACCUUUCUUUGAAUAUUUCUGUUAUAACGAAUGCGAAAAAAUGAAGUUAUAAACAUAAGGAACACAACACAGAUUUAACGUGGUUUACCAACGAUGUGUUGGUUACUUCCACGAACAAAAAAACCUAUUUAUUAAGGGAGGCAAAAGGUUCAGAAAACUCUGAUGAAGGUUCUGAAUCAUAAUCGGAAUACAUCAGAAUCGGAAUACAUCAGAAUUAGGUAUCACAUAGGUAUUAUAACUACCUAGUUAACCCUAAUCAUUUUUGGACCUGUCGUUCACGCCUAUGUAACGUCCUUAAGCUGAUAGCUUCGACCCAUUACUCAAACCGACAAUCUGCAGUAAGCUUCGUAGCUUACACCUCAUCUGAAAACAACUCCGCAGCUUACACAAUCUGUAACCAACAUCUUCUACAGUUUGCUAUGUAGCUUGCACCUUCCAGAGGUCACACUUUCCGCAAGUCGCACCUUAUGGAAGUCGCACCUUACGCAAGUCGCACCUUACGCAAGUCGCACCUUACGCAAGUCGUACCUUCUGCAGGUACCUUCUGCAAGUUGCACAAUCUACAUUAUGCUCUGUAGGUCCGCACCUUCUGCAACUUGCACCUCUCACAGUCUCAGAUUUAAGGCACAUUAACAAAUCUCCACCUUGUCUUGAAUCGUCCAAACAGAUGUACCAGAUGCACUUUUACAGUGCCAGAUGUACCGAAUUUUUCAUUUGCCUCACACGUUUGAUAACACCUAAUUUUGACAUAUUUUCACCAUUGAUUUCAAAUGCUUUUUCAAAGGUUUUAAUCAGUUUUAGGAAUUUUUAUUAUGAUUUCCAUGUAUUUAUAGUUUCAAGACUUUUUUCAGGAAACUUAGGGAAAAUGAUGGCAAAAUGGAAGAAAUCCACUUUUUAAAGCUCAGAGUCAGACCGUCAGAAGUUCAGCCUCAAAUGAAGACUUUUUCAACGUCUGAUCUAGUUCAAAUUUGGAGACAAUCAAGAGGAGACAACCAGAUUUCCAUAGCACUUUACAUCACAAAGAUUCAAUUGUGCAAUCAAAAGAUACAUGGAGAACAAGCUGACCCAGUUUACCAGUCCUGGAAGACUCUCACCCGCGGCAAAAUCAUGUUUUACCUGCCCUGGAAGACUCUCACCCCCGGUGUACCUUAGGACGAGCCACAAGGCCCAACAUCAAAGCCCACUUCGCCAUUCCUCUUUAGAGAAGCCCUAAAUGAGACCUGGAAAAACUUAGGACCUAUAAAUACAUUGUUUAGCGGCUCCAAACAGGUGUGUGCUCCUGUAAUGAGAUUUUGAGCCACCAAAAUCUGUUUCUCUAGGGUUAGGCGAUGGAGAUGGGGAUUCUUCCCCAGAUCCAUUGUUCUUUCUCCUUUCAAUUCUACUAACUUUUCUGUUUCACUCUUUUGCAUUUUUCUAUGUCUUUUAUUAUUCCUUGCAUCAUGUAGAUCUGUCCCAGAGAGUCAAGUUGUUUUAAGAGUCAUCGAUGAUCAUAUAUAUCGAUUAGGAUUUCUAUAGUUCUAAACCAUAUUCUGGAUCUCAUCUCUUCUAAGUUGUUCAUAUUGCAUGAGAGUAGAUUCAUGACCUAUUUUCUGAGCCUAGGAUCGAUCAGAGCCAUGAGAGUGUUGUAUCAGAUCAUCCAUACCUAGCUUCAGAAGAACAUAGUCGCUAUAGGAGUCGAAAGCUACCCAUAGAGAAGAUGUGAGCAGACGAAUUCAAUGUCUAAUGCAUGAUCUUAUUUCUGUCAUGAGAGCGAGAGUUAAUUGUCAUAUCUAAGUGAUUAGUUGAUUAAGAUGACGAGAAUUAGUUAAUCAUACAUAUGUCUAUUGUAGUUCCAUGCAGAUUCCUAGAAACAGAUGAAGAUAAAUCGCCCGGAAGCUAAUUGUAAAUGCCACCAUACAUCGAUUAUAGUAAAUCGGAGAAGUCUAAAUUGCACCCUAUGAGUUUAAGAGUAUUUAGUUUGAGUCGAUAUGCUUGAGAUAUGCUUGAGAUAUUCUUUUAACAAUUCAUCAUGCAUUGCAUUUUAUCUCUUGUGAAUAUUAGAUUAGGUUUAGUUUAGGACUUUUAACUAAAAACCCCAAAACGUUUAUUGGUUUAUGAUUUUGCUUACUUCCCAGUUUGUUGUUUCUUGCAGAUUAGACAUUCUCCCUAUGGAUCGACACCCUAAGUUCUACAAUCUGUGCACUUUCAGAUUUUAGGGUUUUAUAAAUUUAAAACUUUCUUUAUGGACCAAUGAGCUUGUAUGAAAAACAACCCUAGGCCCGUAGCUCAUCAAAGUUUUUGGCGGCGUUGCCAGGGAGGUUCUUAGUCGCUGGAGGUCUAAACCUAGGAGGUUGAAGCCACAAAAGACAAUAUAUAUGUCGAGUUUCUGCCAAAAAAUCAUAGGAAGUAAACCAAACUCAUAAACACCCUAACUUUUUUUUUUUCUGCUUAUUCUCUCUUCUGUUUGCCCUAGUUUCAGAAAUCUUUGAAGCAUGGAUCAUCCAAGAAGAAAUCCUAACCCUGAUCGAAGGUUUUGCAACUUGUGUGAAGCUCCCUACGCAUGUGAAUCACCUUCCAGGCGUGAUUCCAAUCAUCCAGUUCGGCCAGAUCAUCCGAACCACCACCAUGGAAACUCGCGACCUCUACACCAUCGAGAUGAGCCCUUCACCUGGUGAAUCGUCGACCAUCUCAUCCUCUUUCUCAUCAGAUUAUGCACCAGAACUAUGAGGAUAAUCUGUUUAAAAUCCUGCUAAAUCGAUUGGAAGCCAAGCUGAAUCAGUUCCUUGCCUCCCAAGCCAUCAUCGAUGCUGCCCUGCGAACAAGGAUAGAUGACAUGACCGUCGACCUUAACAAAAGGUUUGAUGACCUCUCUGAGCAUGUGAAGAUACUGGAGAUCAGAUAAUCAAAGAUAAUGACGUGUCGAACCAGAGAAUGGAGUCUGUCGAAGAAGAGCAGGACAAAAACAAGUUCAACAUUCGACAAAAUGAAAGGGAGCUGCAAACCCUAACUUUCAAGAUCGAUGACUUGGAUAAGGAACUGAAUGAGAGCAAAAACCAGACCUACGACUACACAUUGGAGCUGUGGCAGGGCGUAGCUAAGGUUGAAAACAAGACAGAAGAGCUUGAUGCUACUCUAGACAAAGUUGUCUAUGCUGUAGAUGAAGUAGAAGAGAAAGUUGAAAAACUUUCUAAAGAUCAUAAGGAGUAUGAUCUGAACUCUAGAAUCAAUGAUUUGGAUACCCAAGACGUGCCUAACAACCACUGGAAGCAAGAGAACAAUAAUGGAGAAGAAGAGAUUUAAGAAGAAAGCAUAGAGAGCCGGAGGAAGCUGACCGCGGCUGCGAGUACUUCACCCGCGGCCAGAGCCACUUCCACCGCGACUCCAAGCUCCUCACCCGCGGUAGAGCAUGAUUUCUCAGAUUAGGAGAACUUCCAACCUCUUUCUGAAACCUGUUCAACUGCAGACCAACCCCUUGUGACCAGAUCUAGGUUGUUUGAUCAAGUUGUCUUCUCAAUCACUGCACAAGCAUCAAAAGAAAAGGAAGAAUCCAACACUUAUGAAUCUUGCAACAUAGUUUACACUUGUGACAAUGAGCUUCAAGAGCAAUUCUCAGAAGAUGAAGAGUAUGGUUUGUUUGUUGAAGAUCCAAACUAUGGGGACAAUUCAUCUAAUGACAACUCAGAACCAAUUACCAAGAGCAUAUCCAGAGAGAGACUGAUUGAAUUCAACAAUUUUGUGAAGUCCAUUCCUCUCUACCAUGGUUUCGACGACAUCUGGAAGCAAGGCUGCCUUCAAGUUUUUUUUUCAGAUAUAGCAAGAAGACUAAGGAGAACGUCUACACUUAUUUCAGAAGAGCCAGGUAUCUAUCUUUUCCUAGAUCAUCACCUGAUGCAGCUGUUUACAUGAUCCAUCUCAAAGAUCCCCACGAAGCCAUUGACUACACAAACAAGAUCAACAAAGAAGCACUUGAAGAGUCAAUCAAGUAGUUCAAAGCCUCCUAGAAGGAAUUUCAUUUGCCAAAGCAUGUAGAGACUACAUGAUCGGCCACUUCUUCUAUGACAGCAAAGAUUCUAUUCAAGAGAUGAAAGACUUGUUCACACACGCCCAAGAAGGUAGACCAUUUCGAAAUCUGCACAAAGUUCAAGACAAAGGUCAAUUUCUUAUAUCUUGUGAUAUUAGAGGUGAAAGAUUUCUCAAUAUUCUUUGUGAUUCUGGAGCUUGCAUUAACAUGAUGUCCAAAGCAACUGCUUUGAGACUUGGCAUUAAGCACAUUUCAAAUACCAUGACAAAGAUUAGCUUAGCAGAUGGUUCAAGUGCAACACCAAGAGGGAUAUCCCGAGAUAUUCCUCUAAGGAUUGGAGAUUGCAUUGCACCUGUCGAUCUAUACAUAGUGAAGACCAAAGAUGACUCUUAUCCACUUAUCCUUGGAUGGUCUUUCUUAGCAACUGCUGGAGCCAUCAUGGAUUGGCCCAACAGGAGAUUUUAUUUUGCAAAUAUCGACAAGGAUAUCUUCUAUCAAGCUACACCACUUAAGAGCAAAGGAGAAAAGCAGAAAGCCUAGGCCUUUGAACCAGAAGAAAUCUGGAGUGAUGAAGAACCUGCAAGACAGAAGAGAAGGAUUUCGAAAAGGACUUGUCUUAGGACAAGAUCCUAUUUGAGCUAAGUCUUUUUCUUUUGCAAGUGUAGCUAAGGACUAUAAACCAAAGCGCUUGAUGGGAGGCAACCCAUUUAGCUACUUAUUUGCUUCUGUUUAUCUUUCUUUUUCUAUUAAAGUUUUGGUUUUUUUAUUUUAGACAGGCCUUAGUAUGCCACAAAAAAAGGAAGAAAAAGAAGAAAGAGAGCUGACCGCAGCCAAAGGAGGUUCAACCGCAGCCAGCAAGCAUUUUGCCGUGGCCACGAAGCUUUGAACCGCGGCCAGCACCACUCGGCCACCCUUGGCCAUUUCCACCUCUACCUUGAUUCAAAUCCAUCCAAGUUGGAUCAAGCACCACUUCACAUCAUCCACCAUCCACCAUUCAAUAUCCUACCACCUCCACAACCACCUCAUAAUCCAUCACCACACCAGGUAAGUUUUCUUUUCCUUAAUCUUUUUAAAUUUUUUCACAUACUCUAUUUCUCAUCCUUGCCUGAUUUAUUUCAUACUGGGGACAGUGUGAUUUAAGUAUGGGGGAGGAUUUCAUCCCUUUCUAACCACUUUUUCUUGCAUGAGCCUUUGCAUUCUGCAUUUUUCUUUAAAAUUUUUCAAUUUUUUUUUCGAUUUUUCACAAAACUUUUCAAAAUUCUUUUGAGUUUCAAAAAGUGUUUUCAAAGGUCAAAUACAUUUUAAGGGAAUAAUGACAAAAUCGAUGAUGAUAACCAACCUGUUUGCUUCUACACCAAUGAUUCAUAAAAAGCUCUUUCAAGGUUUAGUAUUAGACUUGGCGGUAGCUGGAGUACUUACACUACGAAAUCCUACCAGAAGACUUCUAUUCAUGAAGAUAUUUUCUAACAGGAUAUUCUAGCUCAUCUUACUUGGACUUAAUCUUGACAUCUAAUUUUCUCAUCAAUGGUUUUAAGAAGGCAUCAUGAUAUACAUCUAGGACAUCUUUAUCUUAUUGUUACCACUCUUUGUUGUCCUAGAUGGCCAGUUCAUCUUUAGCUGGUACCUCACCUUUAACCCAAACCUUUAUGUUCUAACCUCAUGCAUUCUCUCUUAAGUAUAUAUUGACAGAUAUGUGCAAAAACGCCGUAGAGGGAGGAACAACAUAGUUUUCAGUCAUUCAUGAGAAAAACUGAAAAAGACCAGAAGGGAGUGUGCCAGAAAUCUUAUGAUUCCUCAGAAAAGCUCAUUCUUAUAAGUAAAUUUCAUGCUUUUUAAGAUUAAGUCAAAAGGCAGUUUCCCCUUUCCCAAAAAAAAAACAAAAAAAAAAAGAAGGAAAGGAAAGAAAACCAAAAGCCUAAAGAGUCUUAGAAGCCGAAAUCAUUUGAGCCAAGGCAAUAGGUAUCCACCUAAGGAGUUAUGGAUUCACAACCUAGACAAAAAAUCCAAGUCUGGGGGAACUAUAAGGAGAACCUGAAGAAAGGAGAUCAGAAAUCUUAAAGCAAAGAGAAUGUGACUGAAACAGUGGGGGCAUUUACAGUUCCAUCCUCUCUUGCUGUUUUGCAUAAUGUCUUGUCUCUCCAGAAAAAGGUAACCCUAAACACAUCAAACCUUACCAUUAAAAAGCCUUUUUGAUACCUAACCUUGAAUGCCUUGUUUGAUAUCCUUUUGAUGAGAAUCACUGAAACCUUUAAUAAAUGUUAAGAGCUAGGUGACUGGAAGUUAGUUCUAAGUGUGUGGAUUUUUGCAUGACGGAUUAACAGACUAGUUAUGUUUGUAUUUUGGUGAGAAUUUUCUAGACUUGAUCUGAUUGACGCAUUGUCCAUAAUUAAGGUCUAGAAGUAUGGUUGCUGAUAUUUUUGAGUUCCCUCUCACUUUUGUUGAAUGAUAUUUUUCCAGAUUUGAUCUUGUUUUGUUUGAGGACAAACAAAGUCUUAAGUCAAGGGGGGGGGGGGUUGAUACCACACCUGAUUUUGACCCAUUUUCACCAUUGAUUUCAAUGCUUUUUCAAAGAUUUUAAUCAUUUUUAGUAAUUUUUAUUAUGAUUUCCAUGUAUCUGUAGUUUAAAGGUUCUUUUCAGGAAACUUACGGAAAAUGAUGGAAAAAUGGAAGAAAUCUACUUUUUUAAGCUCAGAGUCAGACCGUCAGAAGUUCAGCCUCAAAUGAAGACUUUUUCAACGUCUGAUCUAGUUCAAAUUUGGAGACAAUCAAGAGGAGACAACCAGAUUUCCAUAGCACUUUACAUCACAAAGAUUCAAUUGUGCAAUCAAAAGAUACAUGGAGAACAAGCUGACCCAGUUUACCGGUCCUGGAAGACUCUCACCCGCGGCAAAAUCAUGUUUUACCUGCCCUGGAAGACUCUCACCCCCGGUGUACCUUAGGACGAGCCACAAGGCCCAACAUCAAAGCCCACUUCGCCAUUCCUCUUCAGAGAAGCCCUAAAUGAGAUCUGGAAGACCUUAGGACCUAUAAAUACAUUGUUUAGCAGCCCCAAACAAGUGUGUGCUCCUGUAAUGAGAUUUUGAGCCACCAAGCUAUGUGUUAGGCGAUGGAGAUGGGGAUUCUUCCCCAGAUCCAUUGUUCUUUCUCCUUUCUAUUCUACUAACUUUUCUGUUUCAUUCUUUUGCUUUUUUCUAUGUCUUUUAUUAUUCCUUGCAUCAUGUAGAUCUGUCCCAGAUAGUCAAGUUGUUUUAAGAGUCAUCGAUGAGCAUAUAUAUCGAUUAGGAUUUCUAUAGUUCUAAACCAUAUUCUGUAUCUCAUCUCUUCUAAGUUGUUCAUAUUUCAUGAGAGUAGAUUCAUGACCUAUUUUCUGAGCUUAGGAUCGAUCAGAGCCACGAGAGUGUUGUAUCAGAUCAUCCAUACCUAGCUUCAGAAGAACAUAGUCGCUAUAGGAGUCGAAAGCUACCUAUAUAGAAGAUGAGAGCAGACGAAUUCAAUGUCUAAUGCAUGAUCUUAUUUCUGUCAUGAGAGCGAGAGUUAAUUGUCAGAUCUAAGUGAUUAGUUGAUUAAGAUGGCGAGAAUUGGUUAAUCAUACAUAUGUCUAUUCUAGUUUCAUGCAGAUUCCCAGAAAAAGAUGAAGAUAAAUCGCCCGGAAGCUAAUUGGAAAUGCCACCAUACAUCGAUUAGAGUAAACCGGAGAAGUCUAAAUCGCACCCUAUGAGUUUAAGAGUCUUUAGUUUGAGUCGAUAUGCUUGAGAUAUUCUUUUAACAAUUCAUCCUGCAUUGCAUUUUAUCUCUUGUGAAUAUUAAAUUAGGUUUAGUUUAGGACUUUUAACCAAAAACCCCAACACGUUUAUUGGUUUAUGACUUUGCUUACGUUCCAGUUUGUUGUUUCUUGCAGAUUAGACAUCCUCUCUGUGGAUCGACACCCUAAGUUCUACAAUGUACAUCUGUGCACUUUCAGAUUUUAGGGUUUUAUACAUUUAAAUCUUCCUUUAUGGACCAAUGGGCUUGGAUGAAAAACAACCCUAGGCCUGUAGCUCAUCAACGUUCCAAAAUGCACUUUACCGUGCCGGAUGUACCAGACGUCCCUUGUAUCAGAUGUACCUGAUGCACGCUUGCCAGAUGUACCAGAAUUCCCUUCUAUCAGAUGUACUAAACGCACCAAUAUUAUGCCAGAUGUACCAGAUGCACUCUUACUGUGCUAGAUCUACUUGGUGUUAAGUAGAACAGGUGUCUCUACAGACCAGACGUCCCUUUGGACCAGAUGUUCCGUCGGACCAGACUCCACUGCGGACUAGAUGUUAUUUCAGACCAUACGCCUCUUCGGAUCGGACAUUGUUUCGGAAUAGACGUCCUUUCAGACCAGACGCCUUUUACCAGGCUCAUAUACUCCUCCAGAGCCAGAUGCCUUUCACUGGGCUCAGAUGCUCCUUCGAGCCAAACAACCCUCACCGGGUUCAGACGUUCCUUCAAGCCAAACGUCCCUUCGGACCUGUAGUGUAUGAUCCACCAUAUCUUCGAAGCCAUAUAUCUCUGUGGAUCCAACCUCAUUCCUUGUAAGCUGAUCAUGACAUGUACUACGGUGAAUAUUCUCAGAUGGUGUCAGUUCUGACAGAUCAAUUUCUGUCUGUAGCUCUUGAAUCUCUUCGUGUAGCUCAGAAUCAGUCUCGUCACGAUAUAUAUACAAAUCCACCUGCAUCUGUAACUCCACCUGCUUGUCAAAGCUACUGUUCUCUGUAGCAGCUGUGGUUAAAGGUUCAUCUUGGAACCUUCUUUCUGAAUCAACAUUAGAGAACAUGCACUUCGUUCUCCGCAGCAGCAUCUGAUUCAUCUGCUCAGAUACACCAUUCGGUUGUGAUGUAUCCGUAACUGCAUGAUGUUGGACAACUCCUUCAUCCUUGCAUAGCUGAUUGAGCUCUAAUGAACAGAAUUUCUCACCUUCCUCUGACAGAAUUUGCACCUUCUUUUCACCUAUACGACCAAAGCUCUUAUGCCACAGCUUUGUUAUAUCUUUGUGGUGAAUUUCUGAAGAUGCAACAUUCACAGAACCUGUAGCUGUGGAACCUCCACCCAUACCCUUGUGCCCUCCUCUGCUGCAGGUGAAAUCACCUUCAUCAUCCUCAUUUUCAUUCAAUGGAGCCGCAAAUCUCUAUGACAGAUAACAUCUUCAACUUUCUUUUUCAAUUUUAUCGAAAAAUGUGAGAUUAGACGCAUAUAGAAUGGGAACCAUCUCUAUAAAAACAAUAGAUUUUUUUUAUGAAGAGAUAUCUGAUGUCCAAUAUAAUUUGUUGUUAUAAUUUGUAUCUAGUUUUUUUGUUAUCAAAAUGAAUGUUCAGAUGAGAAUAUUGUAAAUUAAUUCUUAUCAUGAUAUUUUGAAUAGCAUAUGAUUUUGAUUAAUAUUAAUUAAAAUCAUUAAAUUGAAACUAUAUAAUAUUGAUAAGAACUUUAAAAUUAAUUAUCUAAUGAUACAUAAUUUUAGUUAAAUUUUAAAAUCACUUAAAAUGCAUAAACUAACAGUACCCAACUCAAUAUAUCUUGGUGAAAAGGUUCUUAUGUAAAAGUCUAAUUAUAUAAAAAUUAUAGUAAGGAAAAAGAAUGUGCGUUCUUUCAAAAAAAAAAAAAAAAAAAAAAAAGAAGAAUGUGCAGUGAGCAAUCAUAUAUUCCCUUUAAAUAGUCUCAGUACUGUCAUUUUGAGUUUACCCUCUGUCUCCCCUAUUUUUUAUAUUUACAGUUUUUUAAUAUUAGGUUUUUACUAAAAUAAAAAUUUCACAUCGUGAUUUAUCAGAUGGAUCCUAUCCAUUUCUCAAUUUAAUAAAUAAUAUUUCUUAAAACUUUUCUUGUCUUACUAUAUUCUCAGCAUUUUGUAACACUAAAUAUUUAAAAUGCAAUAUUUAUAUCUUUUUGGACUUUACAUUGAUAUAUAUAAACUUUCGAAUAUUAUUAUGUUAGAUACACAAUUUCUAACCAGAGAGGAAUUUACAUAGUAAAUAAAAUGAUAUUUAUCAUAUUUUUGUAAUUCUAUUAGAAUUAUCUACAUUUUUAUAUGUGUAAAGCUCAUAUAAUUGGUUUUGCAUUCUUAAUGAAAGUUUGUUAAUAGAACUAAUAUAAUUAUAUCAUGGAAGAAAAACUAAUAGAAUUUAUUUUUAAAAAAUGAUAUCAAUCUAUCAAUUUUAUUGGGCACUAAAACAUUUAGGGUCCUGCCAUUGACCAAUACUGUCUACCUCCCAUAUAUCUACCAUUAAGCCAAUACAAUUAUUUAAACACUUUUGUAGAGAAUUUUUUUCUACAUUUGAUAUUUAUAGAAAGACCUAAAAAGAAAUAAAAUCUAUACUUUAUCAAUAAUAUAAUUCUGAAAGGUCGUUUUGAGAUAUAUGUGAUAUAAUAUUAUAAUAUUUAAUUUAUAUAUGAUAUCUAAACUUUACCAAAUACUAAAGUUUUAUAUUUUGAUUAGUCUACAUUGAGAUUACAUAUUGUUUCAUUAAAAUAUUUUAUUUUUAUUUUAUGCUAAAUUUAUAAUCAAUAUUAGAGCAUUUAUUACUUGGUCAUAGGUUUUACUAGAGUUGAAUUUCAUAAAAUAUUAAAUUUGGUCAAAUUAAAAACAUUUGACUCAUUUAGAAUAUGUAAAGAGUAGCGAGCCAAAAGAAGUUGAACUUCUCAAAUAUAAAUUAAAUUUUCAAGCGCAAAGCUCAUGGUACAAUCAAGAAUCUGAAUAACUUUUGAAUGGCCACAUUAUUGUAUAUGAAUUACAUACAUGUAUAUGUAUGAUAGAAUAUAUAUAUAUAUAUAUGUUUUCUUGGUAGUGAAUGAGAGGAGGAAAAAAAAUAAGAGGAGAAACAAUGAGAAAAAGAAAAGUUCAUAAAAACAAAAAUCACAAAAUCAUAAAGUUUUUUCAUUCUUAUUGUUCUGCUCUUAUAUUUUUUUCCUGUCUCUCAUUCACCACCAAAAAAACACAUAUAUAUAUAUAUAUAUUUAUGUAUUUUUGUGUAGCAUUUGACCAUGCCAAUCCGAAAUGCUAAACAAAAAUAUAAUUUAUUUUUCCAGAUUACAGGCCAAGAGAUAGUAUGGAGAUAUAUAGAAGGCGAUGGUAUGAGGGUUACAAAAAUAUUCAGACUAUUAACUCAGAUUAAAAAUUCUGUGAGAAGAAAAUUCAGAUAUGAUUCCAGAAUUAUUUGUUGAGAAUCAAUCCAAAGUUCCACAUCGGAAGUUUAGACUAAUAUGGUCUAAUAUAUAAGUAAUGUCCAACUCUAAUUAGUAUGAGGUCUUUUGGGAAGGAGCCCAAAAUCAAAUCCGUGUGGGCUUUGUCAGUUGGGCCCAAAGCAAACAAUAUCAUACUAAUUGAAAAAGUUGGACAUGCGUUUUUCAAGCCCAAUAUUAUUCAGGUGAAAAUUUUCAUCACUAUUUUCAGAAUGAUAGGCUAAAGUGUAAGAGACAUUUUAUUAUUAUUGUAUCUCAAAAAACGUGGAAAUGUUACAUAAGCCUUUAACAGUCUUUUUAAAAAAAAAGCUAUAUUCAAGAUAUUUAGUUUUUUUUUUAAAUAAUAUAUAUAUAUAUAUAUAUAUAUAUACACAUAUAUAUGAUAUUUAAACUCUAUAAAUAAGAGUUUGAUAUUUCUAGUCCAGAUAAAGUAACGUUAUAAUGCUGCCCAAAAAAUAAUACUACAAAUAAUUAUUUUCUAUUAAAUUUACAUUAUAGCAUUUUUUUUUAUAACAUCUAUUUUAUUAGAUAGUAAAAAAGUAAUACAUCAUGUUUACAAGCCAUUUUGGCAAAGAUUGAAAAACAUAAUACAUAGCAUGAAAACAACAAUACAUAAAAUUAAAAACACAAAGCACUAAAUCAAAGAAGAUGAGUUUAAACGAUUUUUUUCUUCGAAUUUUUCUCGCUGAAAAAGUGUCCACACCUUCUUUCCUCGUAAUCGCAUUUGAUCUAAAGCGAUUUUUUUUUUUGCUAUGAUCCAUCUUUUCUCCUGUUGUAUGUUAUUGACACAUUUCCAAGUAAGAACUAAAAAUAUUCUAUGAAUAAGAAUCCAAUCUUUUGAUUCUUUCCAUAGAAAAAAUACUUGAAAUUGCCAAUUUUCUACGACUGUACGUAUGUCGCCAUACCACAAGGAGUUUUCAUCUUCCGCUCCAAACCCUUGUCCCCUCCAUGGUGGUUUCCAUGUUUGUUGUUCCCAUAGUAAUGCCAUAUCCGGCUGAAUAGAAUCAUCGAAGAAGAUCAAACAUAAAACCCAAAUUCGCCAAUCAUCGUUUCCAUGACUCCUAACUUCUCCUAUUCCCGGAUCAAAAACCCAAAUUACAUCUCCAAACCAUACAGUGGAGGAUAAUAAAAACUGCUGUGAGUGUUGAUUUAAUCUUGGAUCAAUUUGAGUAAAUUGGUUCAAGAAAGAAUUAAAAUCCCAACCAAAGACUUGACGAAUUAUAGCAUUUAUUAUUUGGUCAUAGGUGUUACUAUAGAUGAAUUUAAUGGAAAUGUUAUUUUUGGUCAAAUCAAAAUUAUUUAAUAUUUAUAAUAUGUAAAAAUUUGAUCCAAAAGAAGUUAAAACAUAAAUAGAAUCUCAAACCACAUGAUACAAACAAGAAUCUGAAAAAAAGUUUGGAAUCUCCAAUAUGAUAUACAUUUGCAUUAUUAAAAAAAAAUGGCACUCAUUGUUCUUCUCUCAAUGCUUUUUUUUGUUUCCUUCUCUCAUUCACCACCACGAAAACACACACACAUAUAUAUAUAUAUAUAUAUAUAAAUAUAUAUAUAUGUCAUGCAUUAUCAUUUAUCAUCUCAUCGAUCUAACUCAUGCACUCAGGAUCAUCAUCAAAAUGAUCUUCUCCCUCCAUAGCCUCUCUUGGAUUUCCGGCUUCCAUAUUCUGUUUUCCGCAGGGCUCCAUCACAUUAUGUUUCUGACUUGUCGACACUAGAUUCAUAGAAAGUGAUUGAUCAUGGUUGGUGUCAGGGGUUGAGUCCAUCAGGGUAUUAAAGGCAGAGUCAUGUCCAAUACACCUCGUCGAAAAAAGAAUAUCUUCCUUAGAAGAGCCAAAAUUUCGAACCAACAGUCAAUAUCCAUCUCAUUGACGUCAAUGUCAAAAUAAAUCAGCUCUUCGAUCGGAACAUCAUUAUCUUCCACAUAAGGAACCAAAGCCAUAUCUUCCAUAUUAGUUUCAAGGGAUUGGGUUUUAUUGGUUUCAAAAGAAGCAUGUCUUCAAGAAGAAGAAAACUUUCUUCAGAAAACAACCAAUCUAUCUGGUCUGUAUUGGUUUCGAAAAUGGUGGUCGUAUUGGUUUGAGAAGAGGUUUCAUAACUUGUUUGACCAGAAGCAAAACCGACAUGGGAAAUGACAUUUUGAGAAAGAACAUGAUUUUCUCCAGAAGAAACCAUACCCAUCUGGUUACUGAUUUCAGAGGGAAUCAUAUUUUCAGAAGCAACAUAGCCUUCUACUGAAGAAAUAUUGGUUUCAGGAACAUUUAUGUUCAUAUCAGUUUGAGGAAGAACAUAAUUUUCUAGGGUAGGAAUCCAAUCCAUCUGGUUCAUAUUGGUUUCAGAUGACUAAUGUUUUCUGUUGAUGGAACACAACCUAUUUGGUUUAUAUUGGUUUCAUGAUCGCGAAUAUUAUCGGUUGAUGGACUCCAACUUAUCUGGUCCAUAUUGGUUUCUAAAGUGUUCAUGGUAAAGUCUAGAUCUGGAAGAAAAUAACUUUCUCCCAUAAUGCACAGAUCAGCUUGAGGAACAUAAGGCUCUGGUAUAUAAAUAAAGUCUAGAUCUAGUUGGUUCCAAUCGAUUUCAAGAACAGAUGAGCUAGGUUGAAAUGGGUUAGGUUCAGACUGAGGAAUACAAAUCCCGGAAGACUCCAUCUGGAAUGCAUCUGUGUUAGAUGCACCAACACUUGAUGACAAACCAUAAAGAACAGGAGGGUUAUCACUACUUAAGCCACUAUGGUUAGAUGCACCAACACUUGAUGACAAACCAGAAAGGACAGGAGGAUUAUCACUUAAGCCACUAUGGUUAGAUUCUCCAACACUUGAUAGCAAACCAGAAAGGACAGGAGGAUUAUCACUACUUAAGAUAAUAUGGUUAACAUCAUGGAUAGAAAAAAUAUGGGAAGGUGGGUUGUUACUUGUGGCUGAAGGAGCGUAAUUGACUUCCAUAGGUGACUUGUUUAAUAGGUUACCAAAAAGUGAGUGUUUACUCAGAUCCAAUUUUCCACCUAGAUGAAACUUGGGCACCAUCUUCGCUUUGCCCUUUUCAGCAGAUUUUUUGAAUGAAUCUGCAUACAAGAAAAACAAAAAACAUUAUUGACACAAAGAUGUUGAAUUGUGAAAAGUAUAUAUAUAGUAAAAGAACAUGACUUGCAUUGGUCGAUGGAUCAGGAGGAUGCUUCCUUCUUUUUCAGAGAAUACCACUUUGUGUUACUUUCAACGAUAUUCUUUGCUAAGUUGGAUGCAUUGAAAGGAUAUUCAUAGUCUGAAGGGUAGUUGAAUGUCUUAUCUGUUGACCUCCAUUCAUUCCUCGACAACGAAUGGUUCAUUAGCUUAACUUGUGCUUUGUAUUUCUGAAACAAUUAAUUAUAGAAUAAAACAGGUUAUCAUAAGGCUAGUAAAAUUAUAUAUUGAAAAAGAGUGUAUAUAAAUGUAUAUAUGAACCUGAAGGUGGCUACCGACUUGGCAAAGAUUCAAGUCUGAGUCAUUCAUAAUGCUCAAUAUGGAUUUAGGACAAGAAUCUGUAGGAUAAAGAACUGUAAUCAAUUGGUAGAAAGAAGAAUUGGUCAAAACAAAAAAAAUCUUACCUUUUGCACCCAAUAUGGAUAUAGCUGUUAAAAAUAUCAUUUGGCGCUCCUGGAGUCAAUACAUUGCAUCGUCUUCCAAUAUUACUCUCCAUAUUUAUUCCUUCCUCUCUCUUGUUCUCAGCCUCAGUGGGAUAAACCGGUUUAGUUUUUCCUUCAUCAAUUGCUUUGCCUUUUCUCUUUUGGUAUGUUUCAGGGGUUGUAAAUGUUUUGACGAAGGGUCGUCUUCCUAACAAAGAUGACUGACUUGUUCUCUGCCUCUUUAUGGUUUCUCUAAGAGAUUCAAUCUGAUUUAGUAUAUUUUUCUCCACAACUUUCUCUUGUUGUUCAGCGAUGUUGAUUUUCUUUAACUCUUGGCUCUUCUUAGGUACCACAUGCUGCCAUAGGUUUUCGAUGUCGUUUUCAGAAAUCGGCUUCGUUAGACAAAAACGUGCACUUUUUGUCAAAAGAUCUGAUGUUUCCUUGGUAUUUAUUUCUGGACUUAUCACUUUAACAUCAAAAAAAUAGAUAAAUUAAUCUGUGGAAGAAAGUAACAAACAGUGUAAAGAGUAAGCGCAAGAAGAAUGUGUAAAUGUUUGCUUACGUAUAAGAGGAAUUUUUUUGUGAAGCAAAGCAGUGAGAAAGGAAUGUGAAUCUAUAUGAGGCAUUUCAAUGUUGGCUAUCACAAGUCCAGUAUCCUUUUGCUUUUCGAUCAUCGAUAAAGCCUCACUUGCCUUGUUCAAGCUCAUCACUAGUACAUCAAUUUAUAUAUUAAAUAUUUACAAAAUCCAAAAAAAAACAUUGUUCAAAACAAUAAUCAAGUUUCUUCCAUUUUAGUUUUAGUUAUAUAAAAAAGUUGAAAAAACAAUAGAUUAACACGCACAUUUUCGAUUAUAUAUGAUGAUUAGCUAACCUAAUACAUAAUAUAUUAUUUAUAUACAUAUUAAUAUUUGAAAGAAAUUUUUUGGGCUAGAACCAGACAUCUAACAAUCUGAUUAUCCGAUUAAAAUAUAGAAUAUAUGUAUUAAAACUCAACAAUUAUACAUCUAGGGUAUUCAAUAAAAAAUUAAUAAAAAAUUAGAGUUCAAAUAUUUUAUUAAAUUCUUUCUUAUCGAUUUUUAUUUAUUUACAAAAAAAUAUUUUAAAAGAGAAAUUUAUAUGCGUAUUAUCAAUUAUAUUUGAUGAUCGACUAAUCUAAUACAUAAUACAUUAUAUAUAUAUAUAUAAAUAUUUGAAAACUUUUUCCAGCUAAUACCAAACAUUCGAAAUCAUGUUAAGAAAUCAUUUCUAAAUAACAUCAGUUAUCAAAAUCUCAUAUAUAUUCCACAAAAUAUAGAUUAUACUAAAAUUUAAUGGUUUUUACAAAAUAGUAUCCAAUAUCUAUGACAUAUUAUUAUCCAAACUAAUAAUCGUAGGUGAUUAGGAUUUUCAACAAAAGGGUUGUAAGAAAAUCAUCUUCAAAACUGAGAUCCAAGACCAAUCAGUAGCCUAUAGCUUUAAUAUUCUGUAAAUUAAAUUAUAAAUUAUAAUUUUCUAUGCGAAUUCACAUUUCUUCAAAUUUGUUCAGAGAUCCUGAUUUAUACAAUGUAGAAAUCUCAAGAUCUAGAGACGUUGAAUUAUAAUCAUCAGGAAAAUAUUCAGCAAAUGCUAAAAUUUACCAUACCAAAUGUAACAAAUUAGAAUAAUACCGUUGAUAUGUAAAUGGAAAAAUGAUCAACAUCAAUAUAAAUGGUAAACAAUUUUUUUUUACCUUUAUACGAAAAUUGCUUAAGCAUUGAAGUGAGAAAUUCAAUUGAUGUAGUGUCAUUAUCGAUUAGCAGAACUGAAAUAUCACCAAUGCGUUCAGGAACUAUGUUUCCAGCCAAAUUUACGGUCAACUUUUCAGUCAUAUUUUCAAAAAUAUAUGAUAUGAAGGUUUGAAAUAAUAACCGAGUUAAGGGGAAAUAAGCUAUUGCAUGGACGUAUAUAAAAGAAAGAAUAGAAAUUGUAGACCCAACAAGGUCAUAAAUUGCAAACAACACCAGAUGAAGAAAACUAUUUUAAUUUCUAUCAAAUAUAUUUCAUUUCAUCAUUGACCCUACCUAUAAUAUAUUUUUUUAACUCUAAAAAUAUACCCAGUCUAAAGUAUAAUCUAUUAGUUUAUAUAAUUCAAAAUCUUAUCAAACACAUGGUAAAUGAUAUUAUAGCAUUGGUAGUGAUAAAUAUAAUUAUUUUGGGAAUAUUAUAGUGUUUCUUGACCGAUAUAAUUUGAGAAUUUACACGAUAGUCAUCGACUUAAAAAUCCAUAUAUAGUUAGUUGUUAUUUCAUUUAUAAAUUUUGACUAGAAAUAUACAAUUAGUUCAUUUUUUAUACAAUGUUUUAGAAAAUGAUUAAUUAAUUAACAAAAAGUAAACAUAGAAAAUUUUUGUAUAUGCAUAAAAGAUUUUUCAUAGAAAAAUUUGGUGGAAUUAUGUUUUCUCUUUUUUCUUAUAAUUAGAUAAUAUUUUUAUUUCAGUCAGGAAAAAAUGUAGCUACAGAUGUGUUUUAGAUUUAUGGAAGCGUAAAAUAUUCUUAAUAUGUAAAGUAAUAUAAGUUCUCUAUAUAUUACACAAAAUAUAAUUCAAAUUUUGUUAAUAGUUUUGAUAUCAAAAGUUAUUCAUGCAUGCGUUUUACAAUUCGAUCCUUACCUUAUUUCGAGUACAAUAGGCAUGUGACUGGUCAAGUUUUUAAACUCUUAAGUAACUUCCAUAAUUACGUAGAAACUCAAAAAAAUUCAAGAAUAGAAUAAGGUUCAUCUUUUUAUAAAUGUUUAAUUUGAAACGUAUGCUAACACUUUAAAAUAAAGUAUUGAUAAUUAUAUGUUGUGAUGUUGUGUAAUGUAUAACUAAUGCUCGUUUAGUAGUGAACUCGUGAUCAAUGAUGGACUCCAGCUACAAGUUUGUUUUCCUUCCGAUCUGUUCACUACACUACAAGAAAGAAGACCUUUUAUAUUGGAAGAUAUCGACGUAAAAUCGACGUAAUGGGCCAUUUACGUCAAAUUAGUGACGAAUGAAAAAUUAUCGUAAAACAAUCAUCGUAAAAGAGAAAUCGUCGUAAAAUCUUCGUAAAUUACCAACACAAUAAAAUCGUCAGAAACAAUUCGUCGCAAAAACGACGUAAACGUUCCAACGAAAGUACGACGAAUUAAUUUUAACACAACAACGACGUAAAAUCGAUGUAAAAUUACAUCGGAUUUACAACAAUUUCGAGACGAUCUAUUUCGCAAAAGUCAAAUAAAUUUAUUAUAGAUCGACGUAAAAUCGUCGUAAUAUAUCGACGUAAAGUCGACAAAAAGUAUAUGGACGUUUUAAAAUAUUUGCCUUUAAUUAGACGUAAAUUUACGACGAGUUUACGUCGAAUUAGAAAAAUAAUUAUUAAAAUUGGAUUUUAAUUUAAUUAUUGAAUUUUUAAAAUAAUCAAAUAAAGGAAAAUUUAAAUUUAAAUUCGAAAAUAAUUCAUAAAUUAAAAUACAAAAUUAAAUACAAUUUAAAAAAAAUAAAAACUAAUCUACACAGUAAAUUCAUAAUCGUCGAGGUUGAGAUCGACGUCUCGAGGAGGCUCUCCGUCAUGUCCGUCCGUCGCUGUUGUACCAUCGUUUCCCGUCUGCACUACGGGAUCCGAAGUCUGACCCUGCGUCUGCUGGUCAGAAGGUCCACCCGCAAUAAUCCUGUGUGCUCGCCGUUGCCUCUCUCGAAAGUGGAUCGUGAAUAUUUCUAAUCCGUUUUUGAAGUCUUCAGUCAAUGACCCAUCAACAUUUUUGGGCGUAUACAUCCACUUUCGUAGAUCGUAUAUAGACAUUUAAAAACAAAUAAAUGACUUUUUGUUUUUGAAUUUUGAUAUAAAUUUCAACUACUAAAAAUUUUACUCAAACAUUCAAAGACUCAAAAAAUUGUGUCUUUAUAUGUUUUUUUGGUUGAUGGAAUAAUGAGAGAAGAAAUGGUAUAUAUAGAUUUUUUGUUUGGUUACCAACAUAUUGCCAUUGAAUAUUAACAUCAAAUUUACGUCGAAAUAAAAUUUACAUUAUAUUUACAUCGAUAUUACGUCAACUACAAGAUGGAGGCCAAUUCAUCGUAUUAUCGAUGUAAAAUUUACGACAAUGUUACGACGAAAUGUAAUUCGUUCUUUAUUCGUCAUAAUGUUGUCGUAAGUUUAUGACGAUUUUACGAGAAUACUAUUUUAUAUCGAAACGACGAAAUAUUUUGACGUCGUACGUAAUUUCGUCGUAAAUUUACUACGACCAUAAAUCGACGUAAAAAAUUCGUUGGAAAUGUCCCUCUUUCUUGUACUAUACAAGGAUUCAUAAAUAAUGAAGCUGUUUUGUUCGGUGAGUGCAUUAAUGUGAGUUAUACAAAAUUUACAUUGGUUACAAAAUUAGGAGACCAUCUCCAUCGGUUUGUUAGGUAAUUUAGAUAAUAAUAAAAAUUAAGAAAUGAUUAAAAAGUUAACAAUUCGGGUUGUUAGGUUGUUGUGGAAGAACCCAGGAAUAUAUAAAAACGUGGCACCAUGUCAUUGGUGGAAGAUUUUUUAUGUGUGUGGGCUAAAAAUCAGGAAUAAGCCCACAUAAAAAUUCUUAAUUUUUUUAAUUAAAAAUUCAUAAUUAAAAAAAUUUUAAGAAACCCAAUCCCAGGUUUAGGGAUGGAGAUGUUUUGCGUGAGUACAUUUUCUCUUUCUUAUAUAAAGUGGAUCCACCAUAACUCCUAAACUAAAUGAGACACACGAUGAGGCCGCAUACAGUGUGGAGAAGGUACACAAAUUCCGCAUUAUCGUUAUAAAAGCUAUGCGAAGUCUUUAAAAAUUAUCUACCGUUCUAAUAACUAACUAAAGUAAUCACGAGAAAUAGUAGUUGGAUAACAAGAUUUUUUUUGUCUUUCUGCUAAGGGCGAAAAAAGUAAUGUAACCUGAGCUCUUUUGCAUCUCUUCUCCGGCGAUGCCGACAGCGUCGGUCUCAUCCUCUUCUCCUCAUGGGGUAGAAAAAACAACCCAAAAAAUCUCCACCAUCCAAACCCUUGUGCCCUCCUCUGCCGCAGGUGAAAUAACCUUCACCAUCUUUGUUUUCACUCAAUGAAGCCGCAAAUCCCUUUGCUCACUCAGUGGCGGGGGAUCCUUCGUCUCUAGCACAGCAAAUCCUUACUGAUUCUGAUUCUCUAGCCUCGACUGACAGCAACUCUCGCUCAGAUCCAAUUGUGAUAGUUCCUGCAACAGUCCAAGCCCCCAAAUAUCAUUUAUGUAAAAGUUGUUGAGACAACAGAUCCAGAACUGAAGAACUCAUCAGUAGAGGCACCAAUUGUCCCGACAAUCCCUGCCUCUGAAUCUGUUUCCGUGAAAUAGUCUUUGGCUGCAGUUCCGGAAAUCCUAAAAAGUUCAAAACCCACUGUGAGUGAUUUGUGGUCAGGAUUAUUCAAAGGUGCUACGAAGCAACUGCAGAAGAAAGGCACAACUUUUACCUUCCCAUCCGAUGAAGCUUAUGUGAAGAUUCUCAAAUAUGUAAUCGAAAAGAACAAAAAAUCCUGGGAAAGUUUCAUCUGUGGGCAAUUAUACACAGAUACGCCCUCCCAGAAAACUGUUCAUAACAUCGUGAAUGGAAUUUGGAGUAAGCAUUUCUGUGAUAUUACAGUAUCAAAGAUAGAGGGCAAUACCUACCUUUUUCAGGAUACCAAAUCCUUCCACUCGACAAUGGGUUUUAACUCAGAGAUUAUGGCAGAUAGAAGGUAAAACGAUGUUUGUCACGAAUUAGGAGUCUGGCUUUGUUCCAUUGAAGCCCGAGCUCUCGUUGUCCCCUAUUUUGCUGAACUAAGAAAUGUUCCUCUACAGUUCUUCAAUGAAGACGGCUUUGAACACAUUGCGGGAUUUGUUGGAGAGCCAAAAUGUCUCCAGCCUAUAACUGCAAACAAGACAAAUCUGUAAGUAACGAAGGUAUUCACGAUAACUGAUCCUCGUAAACCUCUUUCAGAAGUUGUCAAUAUCCAAUUUGAUUCUGGAGAGAUCAAUAGAGUUUUAGUGUCCAGUCUGUGGAUGCCACCACUGUUUUAGUUCUGUAAGAGGUGAAUCAUCAUCUGAGGCAGUGCAAUGAAGCUCCAAUCUUUUGCAAGAAGUGCAACUCAAAAAUUCACGUGGAAGAGAAUUAUGCAAGAACCGUCCUACCUGAACAAAAUAAUCCAAACUCCCAUAGAAACAGAGCCAAGGGAUUAGCUGGAAAUACUUAGAAGUGGGUUAAAGUUGCUGAGAAAUCAUCUGCCAAAUCUGUCAAGUUUACUGAGUCUUCACUGGGGAAAGAAAACAAAUCUUCAAAGGGAGAGUUCAGUGGCGCUGUGGUCUGGUACAUCUUCAAGGGAAGAUCGACGAAAAUGUUAAAGGUCCUCCUAUCCCUGACACAAAAAAAUCAUCAGGAGUGGAAUCAGAUUCUUCGGACGUUGCUUUUGUGGACUUCAGCAAUGUUGUAAACCUGCAGGGUGAGCAGAGUGAGUUCGCAGAGGUAGUUUCAAAAAAGAAGAAGAAGGAUAAGAGGGACAAGAGCCCCAACAAAAGCAGCUUAAUAAAUGGUUGAAGAAAAACAAACCGUUUUAUGAGAGUAUUAUAGAAACCCAUGUGAAACAGCCUAAAUGUAGGAAUUUCAUUAAUAGAUCGCUUCCCGGCUGGUCUUUUGAACAGAAUUAUGAUUUCUCCAUUUAACAAGUGUAAAGGCUGUUGUGGUGGCUAAGUCUUUGCAGAUGAUCACCUACAAAGUUAUGUUUCCUGAUGUGCAGCAGUGGGUUAUUUUGUCAGUGAUGUAUGUUUCUACAGUUGAGACUCUGAAAAAGGAUCUUUGGGCAGAGCUGAUUGUUUUGUCUUCAAGCCAGACUGUUGAAGAAAAAGAAUGGAUGGUCAUUGAGGAAUUUAAUCAAGUUCUCCAUCUACAUGAGCAUUCAAGAGCUAUUACUCUUAAUGUGGAUAGGAGGACAAGAGAAUUCAGGCAGUGUUUGUUGUCGGCUGAGGUGUCAGAUUUGAACUACUGAGGAAACACAUUUACUUGGUGGAAUAAAUGUAGUGCCAGGCCAACUGUGAAGAAGUUGGACCACAUUCUUGUAAAUGAGGUUUGAUCUACUUUUUUCCCCUCUUCAUAUGCAAUAUGUGGAGAGCAUGGUUUUUCAGACUAUGCUUCUUGUGUUGUCGUCUUGGAGUUGGGUUCUCAAAGGCAGAGGAGACCUUUUAAAUUCUACAAAUUUUGCCUCCAGAACCAAGACUUUUACCCUCUGGUUUGUGAACAUUGGUUCUCAUGUAACAUGGUGGAAUCAGCAAUGUUAUGUCUCUCAAGGAAGCUUAAGCUUCUGAAAAAUGUCAUAUGUAGAUUCAGUAGAGAUAAUUUCUAGGAUUCAGAGAAAAGAGUUAUUGAAGCUCAUGAGAAGCUUUUGCUUUGCCAGUCUUAGACUCUAACUGAUCUGUCUCGAACAAAUGCAAAACUGGCGUUUGAAGCACAAAGAAAGUGGCAGAUCCUGGCAAGUGCUGAAGAGUCCCUUUUCUGCCAGAGAUCAAGUGUAACCUGACUUAAAGAAGGUGAUUGUAACACUUCUUAUUAUCACAGAAUGACUGCAUCUAGGAAAGCCAUAAAUCACAUUCACUUCCUUAUUGCACCAGAUGGAGAACAUUUUGAAUAUCAAACAGGAGUUUAAGAGCAUUGUGUUGAUUAUUUCUCACACUUUAUGGGUUGUGAGGUUGGUCCCCAGAUGCUGAUCUAGUCGGAUAUGGAGCUCCUCCUUCCAUUUUGAUGCUCUCAGGCCCAAAAAGAGAGUAUGAUAAAGAGCUUCUCGAAGGAGGAAAUCAAACACCUGCUUUUCUCAUUGCCAAAAAACAAAACCAGUGGACCUAAUGGGUAUUCCGCUGAGUUUUUCACCUGUUACUGGAGUAUUGUAGGGCUGAGGUAUGUGAGGCAGUUGAAGAAUUCUUCCGAUUUGGAAAGCUGCUUCAGCAAUGGAACACUACAACUUUGAUCCUCAUUCUCAAUAUCACAAACGCCUCUUCAACAUCUGAUUUCAGGCCAAUAUCCUGUCUCAACACUAUUUACAAAGUCAUAUUCAAGUUAUUGGCAACCAGAUUUCAGAAGAUCCUGUCUCAGGUAAUAUAUCCCUCUUAAUAGGUUUUCAUGCCAGGUAGGCUGCUUGCAGAAAACGUUCUACUGGCUACGAAAAUUAUGCAUGGCUAUAACUGGAGGAACAUCGAUUCCAGAGCAAUGCUUAAGGUGGAUCUUAGAAAGGCAUUUGAUUCAGUAAGAUGGGACUUUGUCCUCUUGACCUUAAAAGCGUUGGAGUUAUCAGAAAUAUUUGUUAAAUGUAUCAGUCAGUGCAUCACAACUCCCUCGUUUACAAUUUCAGUUAAUGAUAUCACCAGAUGCUACUUCAAAAGCGCAAAAGGAUUAAGGCAAAAAGACCCUCUCUCUCCUUACCAUUUUUCCUUGCAACGGAGGCCUUCUCAGGAUUUUCCACUCUAGAUUUGAGGCUGGGUAUAUCCAUUACCAUCCCAAGACGGCAGAACGGAACAUAUCUCACCUGAUAUUUGCAGAGGACGUGAUGAUUUUUUUUAUGGUGGGAGUUCAUCGUUACACAGCAUAACUGAAGGAUUAGAAAACUUUGCGUCUUGGUCAGGAUUGCACAUGAACAGAGACAAGACUCAACUAUUUCAGGCAUGAGUAAACCACAUUGAAUCCACUGCAAUGGCAAGCUAUGAAUUCACUGUAGGUUCACUAUCAAUCCAAUACUUGGGUCUUCCCCUUAUGCAUCGUAAACUGAGACUCUCUAAGUAUGACCUCCUUUUGGAGAAGCUUGCUAAUAUAUUCAGAUCUUGGGCUGUUACAACCCUCUCAUUCCCAGGGAGAGCUCAGCUGAUUGCUUCAGUGAUAUUAGGAACCGUCAACUUCUAGAUUUCCACGUUUAUGCUCCCCAAAGGUUGUAUUAAAAAUUGAAUCUCUGUGUGCUAGGUUAUUGUGGUCUGGUAGUAUUGUGACAAGAUGAGGAGUAAAAGUAGCAUGGUUUACUGUGUGUUUGCCUAACUCUGAAGGAGGUCUGGGCCUGAGAAAAUUUUCUGUGUGGAACAAGACGCUAUGUCUGCGGUUCAUUUGGUUACUAUGCUCUGAAAGUGGAUAUCUCUAGGCUGAAUGGCAUAUCAGAGCUUCUGGUUGGUGGAGGCAUAUUCAGCUGAUUCAUGGACGUGGAAAUCUCUAUUGGAUCUUAGACCAUUGGCUGAAAUGCUCUUAGGAAAUCUGUUGGAAAUGGACGAAAAACAAAUUUUUGGUUGGAUUUUUGGACACCUCUUGGUCCACUAAUUAAACUUCUGGGUAAUGAUGGCCCGAGAAAUAUCAGGCUCCGUCUUUCUGCUAUAGUCGCAGAUACAUGCACAAUGGAGACUUGGAGAAUCCCAUCGCCAAGAUCUGUAGCACAGCUGAGUCUCCAUAUGCACCUAACGACUAUCAACUUACCUUCUUCCUCUCAGAUCGAAGAUGACUGUUUUUGGUUGGAAAAUGGUGUUAAGUGCAGCCAGUAUUCCUCCUCUAAGACUUAGGAUGAUCUAAGGCCACAACAAGGUGAAACAGUGGUCUAAGCUUGUAUGCUUUAAAGAUUGUGUUUCGAGGCAGGCUUUCAAUAUAUGGAUUGCACACUUGAAUAGGCUCCCCACUAGAGCCAGAAUAGCUUUUAGAGGAACAAAUAUAUUCACAGAUUGUUGUCUUUGUUCCAGAGACGAGGAAACGAGAGAUCAUUUGUUGUUCAGUUGUGCUUAUAGCUCGGAAAUCGGAAAUCUGGAGGCUGAUACUUACAAGGUUAGACCAUACCCAGAGUCUGUUCAUCUUGUGGUCGGAGUUGUUAUCAUGGAUAAGUAUGCGUUCUGAUGCUGCCCCUUAUACCUGAAAGGUGGUGGCUCAGGCUAUGGUUUACCACAUUUGGAUGUCAAAGAAACAAUUUGCUGCACAACUAAUAAAGGAUUCCUGCAUCCAGCAUUUUCAAGUCCAUUGAUCGUGUGACUCGAAACACCAUUACUACGAGAAGACAAAGACGUUGCUUUAGCAACUUUAAUGUCUCUUUGGCUUCAAUGAAACAAUAUAAAAUCUAAUUUACUGUGUAUUGUUCUCCUUGUUUUUUAUUUCUUUUUUGCCAAGGAAGUUUUGUAACAGGUUAGCAUCUUUUAUAACCUUCUUUUCAUUUUAAUGAUAUUAACAUUCAUAGCAAAAAAAAAAAAAAAAGAAAUGGUACUUGCAAUGUUUUACACCAUGUUUGUGUUUUAAAAAUAUUUCACACUACAUAUUCAAAGUUAUAAUGCAGGAUACAAUUUGUUUCUAGUCGAAAAGGUCAAAAAUAUCCAAAUUUUUUAUGUGGUGUUUUCAAGAAUUAUGCUUUUAAGAGAAUUUAAGAAAAUCGGACUAUUCUAUCGAGAUACUAUAACUUAUUCAACAGAAUAUCUAAAGCAUUUGUUCUGAAAGCAAGAAUUCUAGAUGCUCUUCUCCCCAUUUGUUUUUGGUCGAAUGCCACAAAAGAUGUUGAGAAUUAGGCACAAGAACCGGGUUCAAUAAGUUGACAAAUACCAAACCGAGGACCGACGUGGAAUCGUGGAGAAAAAGUUACAUUACAAUAAAGAUAAAUAAAGAAAAGGGAAGAUGACGUAAAGCUCAGAUUUGGAGCCUAACGAACUCCACGUCACCGCCUAAGUUCAUCCAUUGAAAUUUGACGGCGUCUUCUACUCUUCUAUCAUAACCCUUCGUUCUUUCAUGUGAACCACGUCACCGCCAUUCUCUUUUUUUUUUCUUUCUUAAUACAUUUCUCAAUAUGCGUCCAAUAUCAUAAAUAUAAUAUAUAUAUAUAUAUACAAUUUAACCUAUUAAGGCAUUGCAACUUGUAGUGAACUUUCAAAGGAACUUGCAUCCACAAAUUUAAACAUUUUUGCAUGUUGUAGAAUUGAACACGAAUAAUAAAGUGUGUAUUGAUGAUACACUUGUGUUACUUAUUUGACAAUUUAUUUGGUUUUCUUAGAAAAACUGAAACUGGCUUAUACAGUAUGUUUGUACACAUUUUUUGUAUUCGAAGAAAUUGGGGCAUCAUACAGUGACAUUGCUAUUAAUGUUUCUUCUAUAUCAAACCAAGUGAUAACAAAAUAUAAAAAGUAAUAAUGUUGACUUGUAAAUAAAGUAAGAAAAUUAAAUUCUGUCAUUUCAGAAGAGGAAGUAUGUCACAUGUAUAAUAGAUCAUCGAUACUUUUCAUGAGAACUUCCACAAGAAAGCCAUUGACUUCUUAUACCUUUCUCAAUUUUCCAGCUUGACCCAUUUUUUUCUUUUGAAGUUAUGAGAACUUUAUGUAUAAAAACAUUUUAGACUAGACCUCAAGAAAAUUCAGAUAUUUUUAUAAUUUGUGAAAAAAAUGUUGAAAUAAAUUGAUUGGAUUAUUUCUAUUACUAACGUUAAUCCAGUAUUAUGGUGGUCUAUAUUAUUAUUAUAGCCACCUAUACGGAAUGUUGAUGUGCCAAACAAUGGAGACACACAUUGUGUACUUGGAUUAAUGAAUAAAAUGACAUGUAUCAGUCUAUGGGACACAUAGUAAACUAGAUUAUUUCAUACCUAAAAUGCUAUAAUAUUUGAUUGAUAAAUGAUAAGAACAAAGAAAAGUUCUUGCAAGUUUGAAAAAAAAAAAGAGAAUAUCUUGACUCGUGCGGAUCUCAAACUUUUCUUUUCUAUCCUCUUCUCAAAUUAUAUUCCAAGUAAAACACGCAAUUACCAUAAGAGUUAAACAAUAUAAAAAGAGUUCUCAACUAAAUCUUCCAAAAGAGGCUUUCUCUUAUGGUUCACAUGUAAGUAUAUACUUUAAUUUACAUAAAAUUUAAUUUAACGAAUCCUAAUGAGCCUAUUUUCUGAACACGUACAAAUCAAUUUAAUGCAUAUCUUCACAUUUACACAAGAAUAAAGAAACUACACAUAUUUUUACUCCAUUGCUUCUGAAUUUAUAUAAUUCUUUCCAUUUAAUAUGAUUGAGUUUUUAUCCCUCUAACAAGGAAAAAUAUUAUAUAUAGAUACAAGGAAAGCCCAUUUCAUUAUCUAUCUUCUCUUUGAUUCAGCGAGCGAAAUAAAAACAAAAGGCCAAAAAUGGGUGCAGACGCAAUCCAAACGAACGGUCACGAUCCCGCCAAGUUAACCGCCGCGAGAGGGAUCCAACGGUUGAGAUGCGCCGUGAAGAACUACGAGUGGGGCAAACUCGGACCGGACUCACUUGUUGCGAGGCUCCACGAGGCGAAUUCAGGGGACCGAGUCGACCCGGUGGUUCCUCACGCCGAGUUGUGGAUGGGUACUCACGAGUCGGCACCGAGUUACGUUGUGAAGGAAGAAGAAUUCGGGUCGGGUCGUAAUGGAUCCGAAUGCAUGGUUACAUUGAAAUCAUGGGUUUUGGAUUAUCCGAAUUUACUCGGGUCUAGAGUCGUGGACAAAUGGGGUUGUGAUCUUCCUUUCCUCUUCAAGGUAUUAUAUUUUAAAAGUUUCCAAUUAAAACAUGUAUAUUCAAAACCUUCUUUCAAAAAAAAAAAAAAACAUGUAUAUUCAGAUUCUGUUUAUGGUAAAUCUUUUUGUUUUUCCAGUUUUGUCUCAUACAUAAUUGUUCAGGAACAAAAGUAUUAUUUAUUUGAUCCUAAGAUUCUCAUUUUGAAUAUUUUUGCUCUGUUUUGAGGAUUUUACUUUUUGACUCUGUUUUCUUAUAAAAUUUCUAAUUAAAAGUCAAAACAUAUAUAUAUAUAUAUAUAUAUAUGUAUUUUUUUGUAAUUUCAGAUUCUGUGAAUUGUCAAUUUCUCCACUUUUUAUAUUUACAUAUAUUAUAUAUACAGCCAAUUUGUCUUGUUAGAUACAUAUAUAUUUUGGCUCUGUUUUGAGGAUGAUACAUUUUAACUCUGUUUUCUCAAUUUAUAAAAAUGCAUUUCUUUUUCUCUGUGUGUUUUAAAUUUAAAACAUAAAGGUUUGAUUCUAAUGAAUAAGAGUUUGAUGUUGAAAUGUGCAAAAAAUAAAAACAGGUUUUGUCAGUGACGAAAGCAUUGUCGAUUCAAGCACAUCCAAACAAAGCCUUAGCAGAGAAAUUGCAUAGAGAAGAUCCUCUUCUUUACAGAGAUGCUAACCAUAAGCCUGAGAUUGCUCUCGCCAUUACUCCUUUUCAAGCUCUUUGUGGUUUCGUAUCUCUUAAUGUACUAGAUUCUUCACUUCUCUGCAAACAUCUAAUUUAGUCGGUUUUUGAUUUAGAUAACUUCGGUUAUUUUGCCUAUCACAUAUGCUAAAUCCAAAAUUGAACCGGUUCUGUACCACUUUUGAUAUCAAAUUCAGGAGCUGAAGGAAGCCAUCGCCAAUGUACCAGAAAUCACAGAGCUUGUCGGAAGUAAAGCAGCAGAUCAAAUCUUCAAAGUCAACGAACACGAUGGAGACGAAACAAGUGUUAAAUCCGUUGUCCGUUUGAUUUUCACGCAAUUGAUGUCUGCAAACAUCAAUGAUACAAAGCAAGUCAUAUCACAGAUGAAGAUUCGUCUGAUCUCAGAAACAAACCACCGUGAGUUAUCGGAGAAGGAGAAGUUAGUAUUGGAACUAGAGAAACAGUAUCCAGGUGACGUGGGCGUGAUCUCAGCAUUCUUCUUUAACCACGUCAAGCUUAAUCCCGGAGAGGCUUUGUAUCUUGACGCCAACGAGCCACACGCUUACAUUUCCGGCGACUGUGUUGAGUGUAUGGCGGCUUCAGACAACGUUGUUAGAGCUGGUCUCACUCCGAAACACCGCGAUGUUCAAACUCUGUGUUCUAUGCUGACCUACAAAUUGGUAACUUUCUUUACACGUUAACGUUUUUUUUGGUUUAGUUGGCUAGCAAAAUUUGGAUUGUACCCUAACCCUAACCAAAACCGAAAAUUUAUUUUUCUUUGUUUGGUUAUUGAUUAAUUGUACCGGAUUUGUUUCAGGGCUACCCGGAGAUUUUGAAAGGAUUUCCUCUGACUCCAUACAUUACGAGAUACCUUCCACCAUUUGAUGAGUUUGAAGUGGACCAUUGUGAUCUUCCUAGAGAGAAAUCCACUGUUUUUCCGGCCAUACCAGGGCCAUCGGUUUAUCUGGUUAUUGAAGGAAAAGGGACAUUGAAAACCGGUUCAUCUCAAUUGUUGGUUAAACGAGGAGAUGUUUUGUUUGUUCCGGCACAUAACGAGAUUCACGUAACCGGAGAAAGUGAUGUGAUGAAGCUUUACAGAGCUGGAGUCAGCAGCAGAUUCUUUCAAACAAUGUAGACUAAGUAAAGAUACAUAUAUAUAUAUUUAAUUUGUUAUCUAAAUGUAACCAUAGGGAUCAAGGCAUUGACGUGAUCAUAGUCAAUAUUGGUCCAUGUUCUUUAAUCCUACAAAUGUCCCAUUACGAAUCAAGGGUUCAAGGGGUUGUUUUUCUAUUAACUUUUGUUGUUUCUUCUACACCUUUAAAAUUGAAUUAUAUAUGUAAAAUGAUUAUAAAACAAUGUUUUUUUUUUUACUUUUUGCUAUUGUAGUGUAGUAACUAGUAAUUAUUCUUCCUUUACCUGUUUAAACUUUAAUUUCUAGAACUACUCUGCAAAAGCACAUUUGUUCAGUUGUAAUAUGUAGAGAUCGAACCACAGAGACGAGAAAUUCGCUCAAUAAACCUAAUAGACUCUAAUUGCGCUAAGAAGAAAUAAUGAAAUUGAGAGCAGCAAUGCAAUAAAAAACGGUUUUAAAUUCGAUGGGAAAGAAUUAGGCUCAGGGUGUUUCACAGAAAAUCAGAGAAUGCAGACAAAUCGAUUAGUCAUGAUUCAGAUUUAAGCGCAAUUCUUGAACUCAAAUCACGAAAUUAUAAUUAACUAACUUUUGUUGCGAAAAUUAUUUAAAUCUAAAUCCCAGAAUCCCAAUUUUCUUUGCAAUCCUAAAGAUAUAAAUUAGCCUUAAGUGCAGGUUCGAUAUGUUCACAAAGUGUCUAAACCAAUUUUUUUUGUGGAUAGCUACUUUGCUCAUCCUAGGUUCUUUCGGAUUAUUCAAUUACAGUUUCGUGUCAAUCAAUUAACCUAAGAUCUAAGUUCUAGGUGAUCAGUCCAAAAUUAGCUUUAAGAAUAAUCUAUGGUGAAUUACUAAUCAGAUUAUGACCCCUAACUAAUUAAUUAUCUAAAAUUCAAAGGGAUCCCUUAUGAGAACCCUAAACCUAACAAACAAACUACUCAAAUAUGGAGAUUGAAUCAAUAAACAUGAAUGAAUAGAUUGCAGAAAGCAGUAAAAAGAUUAAUAAACAGAGGUUCAAAAUCUUCUCUCAAACAAACAGAGUCUCAGACUUGUCUCCCUAAAAGCUCUCUCAAGAUCAAUAGAAAUCAAAAGUCUCAAAGAAAAUCUAGAGUGUAGCCAAAACACGUGGCUGAAAACCCUAUCAAAAGCUAAAACACAUGUUGGACUUCCCUGUAAAUAUUGGAGACUUCUGGGCUCAAGAGAUUCUUUAAAACUUAGACAAAAUCACGUUUUUCCUUAUUCACGACAUUGGUGUCGAGCAACACCAAAACAUAUAAAUCAUCUUUCACGAAUUUGAUCCCUGCUUAGUUCCAAAAUGCUCUAAAAUCUCCAAUUAAACUCCAAAUACAUUUAAGACCUGAAAAGACUCCAAAAAAUUAAAAAAACACUAAAGAGACUCUAUAAAUAAAACCUAUCAUGAUCAAAAACCAUAAAAAAAAACCAUGAUAUAUCAUUCUCCAUGAUAAGCAUUUUUCGAAUGGUCUGAGUCGAACAAAACAAUGUUCUCUAAAGUAUAAGGCCAAUUCUUUUUGCCUCCCUCGUCACUUACCUUUUGUUUGUGGCUUCCAUGGCAUAGACUAGAGAGAUGACCCCGAGAAGACCUAAUCUAGCACGCAUUUGUUUGGAUGUUGCUAAUGUUCCGUUUUAAAGUACAUAUGCAAAGAUCGUGGAAAGUAAAACGAACUCAAUCUUAAGUCUUGAGACAAUGAUUUUUGCCAAUUUUCCGGUAAGCUUUCCCGGUGAAAUCUUUCACUGGAAUGACCUGAUUAUGGAUGCGCUGGAAACUUGAGUACUAUAACGUGAUAUACUUAUAUGUCAAAAUCGAAUUUAAACUGAAUGAGAAAUGAGGAUUCUUAGAGAGUAUAGCUUGAAAGCUUAAAAAUAACAUAAGUUACCAAAUGACAAGUGUGAUUUGUCCCACAUUAGCAAUUCAACGUUACAUUUUGAACGUAGUGUUACGUUCUCCCCUUGAUAAUACUCAAUAGAUCUGCUUCUAGCCUGUCCCAACAAUCUGAUUCGGAUUGAGAAUUGCGGUUUUUGCGAACGUUGUUAAAGAUUUCCAAAAAAAAAAAUAUUUCAUUACGGCUUUUCACAUCAAAUCGGAAAAACUCUGCUUAGUUUUAACUUUUUAGGGAAUUUGAUAAAUAUUUGACAAACUUUGUGAAAAUAACUUUUGGAGUAGCAAAAUUCCGCAAAAAAAAAAAAAAAACUCAGAGUAAACUUACUGACAAAAGAAAAAAGUUUCCUCAAGUUGGUUUAGUCGCAUUCCUUUUGUCAAGCACUUAAUCCACUACAAAGACGUUUUGUUGUAAUUUAACCGAACUGAACAAUCAUUCCAAAUCUUAAUAAGCAGCUAAAGAGAGACAUUGAGAGACCAAGAUAAACCGGUUUACUUGCACCUACUUGCUGUUUGUUAAAGCUUUGGUUACAAAAUGUGAAACGAUUCCAACCGGACAGAAGAGAAGGCACAAUGAAACCGAAUGCCUCGUCUCAAUCUUAUUCUCUAGCCCAUCAUUAAAAACUUGCCUGCAGAGAAACACUCAAAACAUGAGUUAUAAGAAACAUGCUAGGAUCAAUCAGAACCUGAAAAGUGCAAUAUAGUACCUUGCAGCGAAAAGAUCUAUAACAAGAAGAUGAAUCCAAGCAGAAGCAAGAGUCAUUUCACUUGAGAACAUUUUCGCUAUUCCAGACAACUGCAAAUGAAAAAAAAAAAAAGAAAUUUUAGAAACUGGAAUGUACACAUUUUCUUGUUUUCGAUAUUUCCUGAUAAUUGGAGGAAAAAGCUAAAACCUCUGGCAACAUGUAUUUACUGGAAAACAUGUAUUUGAGAGUAUCAGGCGUCCAAGAAAGGUAUAACAAAUACGCGUAUAAUACGCCUAAGACGAUAUACGGUAUGCUACUCUCCAUACACUUUUUGGUCUGCACAAGGAGAAAACAUACACUCAAUUCAAUAUGAACUUUUUUGAUUCUGCACAAGAAGUUGUAAAACUGCUAAACAAAAACUCACAAUUUCAGCUUUUGGAGCUACAACCAUUAGAGUGUAAAAGGGUAAAACAGCGGUUGUUCCAACCGCAAAUACACUGCUUGCAAUCUGAGAAGUAGCUAUCCCUGCACAAGAACAUGUUAUGUCUCUGUCCUACUUUCAAUUUAAACAUUGAAGAGCUAUAGAUUCUAGACAUAUAUCAAGCCUCUUUUUGGUUUAUAAUGUUUCAGUUAAGAGACAUUACAUGAAGCUCGUACACCAGAGGAUUUCUUUUGAACAAGAGAGGACGAGUUCGAUGAAACAUUAGGGAAAAGUGCGAUUUUUGAUCCUCCGAUAAAGCUCCAACGAUUCUGAAGUCGAAUACUUGACGAACCAACGCAUAGUUUAGACUUGACAUUGCUGAGAGAAAGACUUGUUAUCGAGCUCUUAGCUGAAAUGUUGCGAUUCAUCAUCUGAAUCACCAAACAAAAUGAAUCAAUCUGAUGAAAUAUAAAAAACUUCUUUAUUUCUUAAAAUUUAGGAAUCUGAGACCAAAAGCACUUUGAUCUGAACAACAACGAAUCAGGAACAGAGUUAGGUUCUGUAACAGGGACCCAUGAGGAGUAAAUUCAACUUCUUUAAUGUCUGCGUCAAUUCGAUCUGAUUCAAAGGAUAAAACUUUAAGGUUACCCAUAAGGAAUCUGAACUAUUCGAAAUUGUAGAAAGCUCGACAUAAGAAUCUAAUCCGACAAUCUCCAACAACUGUACAUACAUACAUACAUACAUACAUACAUGAUACAUACAUACAUACAUACACACACAUAGAUAUAGACAUAUAUCUGCGUAUACCGAAAAUUGGAGAAGAAUUGAAAAAGGAAGAGAAAAGGUAGAUACCGAGAGAGAUGAAGAAGACAAAGGCUGGGAAAUGCAAGAAGAUAAAGCCAUCUGCGAUUCAAAUCUUCAAUAGUCUUUGCCAGAAUUUGGCCAUUCAUUACCUUCUUCAACGAGCUCUCUCCAUAUAUAUAUGUAAAGUAUCAAUUUUUAGAGAGGAGAGUUGAGAGUUUUCCACUGGUUGAAAAGGGUAAGUGGAGAAGAAGCUAAGAGAAAAAGUGCUCACUCACUCUUUCUUCAUCAGUGUGGACAAUUAUAGUUGCUCAUCCACCCGAAUUUUUUAAAAAAGUUUUGGUCUUUUUUAGUUUUCCUCGUUUACUUCUGUUUCGCAUAAACAAAAAAAAAAGAAAAAACCAUUAUGAGUUUGAGUUAAUUUUAAAGAGAAAAUCAAAUUUAAAGAUUCUUUAUAUUGUAUGUUCAAAAUUGCAAUAUAUUAUGGAAAAAAAGAGAAGAUUUUUUCCUAAUUUUAGAUAAAAACCUUUAAUAAAAAUCAAAAAAUUAUUAAGAUAUUAAUUUAACCUUAUAUUUUAGAUAUUGUUCUUUUUCUGGUCAAUAUAAAAAAUUACAGUUUACCAUUCUUAUAUAAAAAAAAAUUAAUUAGACUCAAAUGGAAUGUUUUUAUUUUUUUAACAAGAAUAUAACUUUCAUAGAACCUAAUACCCAAAAAAAAAACAUUUGACCCGACUAAAUUAAAAUUCAAGGAAAGAUUGGAGCUUUGAUCCUUUACUCGAUAAAAAAAAGGUUCUUCAUUGUAUGAUCAAAUGACUUGUCGGAUUGUAUUUGUAGGUGGCUCAUCGUAGGAUUAAUAGCUUCUCGGAUUUUGUUAUCCUUGUCUUGUGUUUUGCUUUUUCCGUGAAGAUCAAAAUUUUCUUCUAUACAUUCCUGCUAUAUAUUCCAUCAUGUUCUACCGGUUACACUUAUAAGCCUAUAAGGAUAUCUAAUCUACUUUUUUAUUUGAUAAAAACCUAAUAUCUUUGUUAAUGGAUAUUUGUGCUUAAACUGAAUUUAGACACAACACAGGUCUAGUUCAGGACAGAACAAGACAAAAGUGACAGUGCUACUUCUACUCAGCAGUGGUUGUGACUUCCUCUAAAGACAAAAGUUGGUGUUUCCACCAUUAUUUCGGUUUUGCUUUUAUUAUAUAUUUUAUUUUAAUUUAUUUUUCGCUACAUGAGAAUUGCAUUAACGAAGGACAUUAUAUAUGAAAACAAAAAAAAACAAUAAAAAGAUAUACAUACAUGUGUCUGACACUCAUUGUUUGUGAAAUCAGUUGGGAGUAAGAUAGCGCUUGAGUGGGCUAUUUGGUAUGAUAGCUUCUCUCUAUUGAUGGGCCUUAUUGACCCACCCCACUUCAGUUUUGUUUAGUCAUUCACAACAAGAAAAACAUGAAAACAAAAGCAACACUUGUCUUUUCUAUCUCUCAAUCUGUAAGUGGUAUAUGCGCAUUUCGUUGAAUUCGAUUGAGACCAAAACUCUUUUAAAACAUAAUGUAUAGUUCUUAGGAUUAUAUGGGGAAAAUAUAUGAUGUCUCAAAGAUUUUUCAUAACAUAUUAUAUUCCUUAUAAUAAAAGGUCACCUGGGGUUUUUCUAUAAACCGGGGUUUUUUUAUAAACCGCCGGCUUUUCUAUAAACCGCCGGCUUUGUCUCUGGAGAUGUUGUAUCAUCUGCCGGCUUUGUGUAAUCCGUUGGCUUUGCUCUGUAACACUAUGGUGAUCAAUAUAAUAAUAUUCAAUGAAAAAAAAAAAAGGUCACCUAAAUAAUUAAAAAUUUGAAUUUUUACGACUCAUAUUUCUAUCCUAUUCCAAAGCUAGGAAAACAACAUAAAGAGUUACAAAUUCUUACUAUAUAGUACUUCCAACAAUAUCUUUAUGUAAAUUUGUGCCAAGUCAUUUUGAGUGGAAAAUGUAGAAUAUAUGAUCCACAAGAUCCUUGAAUAUACUUGGGUAUAUAGAAAUAAAAAUGAAUAUCCGAGACUCUUAUCUACAAGCCUAUCCUUAAGAAGGCACGUCCACGAAUGUUUCUAUCACAGAUUUUCAGUGGGCCAUCAUCUAUUACUUCAAGAUAUUGUUCUAAAAAUGCAUCUCAACCUCAAGCUUACUAAUCAUGUGACAAAAGUGAUAAUGUGAAUCUAGUUUUUCAAAUAAUUUCUUUAUUCAAUGACGACUAAUCAAAGAGUUGGUAUAUUUUUGUAUUCACAGUUCUUCAACUUUGUAUAUUUUCAUAUCUUGAGCCGCAUUGUAAUUUGUUUUUUCUUAUAUGCAAAAUUCAAAAUCAAAGAUUUAUAGAACAUUACAUAUUUAUUUCAUCAGACAUUUGAGAAUCCGAUAGAAAAUGUCUCGCAAACCGGAAAACAAACGUUAAAUCCGGAAAUUAAAACAAAACUAAGGAAACCAAAAAAAAAAAAGCAGAUGAUAAAAUCAAAGGUGAGGAGGGAGAUAAAGUUUUUUUUUUUUGAUGUUUACACAAAGCAAAGAAGCAGUGAAAUUAAGCAUCGGUGAAGCUUGCUGGCUUGUAGGCGAUGAAACUGAUGCACUGGACUUGACGGGUGUUGUCGAAUCCGAUGAUCCUAAUGAAGGCCUGGGGGUACUCCUUCUUGCACUCUUGCACUUCCUUCAACACUUGAGCUGAGUCAGUGCAUCCGAACAAAGGAAGCUUCCACAUUGUCCAGUACCGUCCAUCGUAGUAUCCGGGAGUGCUUCCGUGCUCACGGUGCACAAAUGCGUUCUACAAAAACACAUUACACAAAACCAUUCAAAAACAUAAAUCAAGAUUCUGCUUAGGACCUCUAAAUAGUUAUUAACUUGAUUGCAAGAUUCAUAUGGUCCAAGAGAUCAAGCUACUCUAUAAAUGAUUUUUAUUACCUCCAACUCGAAUUCAACACAGGGAAUCCACUUGUUGCGGAGAAGGUAGUCAACUUCCUUAGCCAAUUCAACUUCGGUUAGGUCAGGAAGGUAAGAGAGAGUCUCAAACUUCUUCUUACCAAUAGGAGGCCACACCUAUUUUUUGCCAUUUUUCCAAAAUCAACAAAAACAAUAUUAGUUUAUAUGAUUCGAUAAAUCAAAAACCCAUAAAUUUGUUUUUGGUAUAAGAGAUUUGACCUGCAUGCAGUUAACUCUUCCGCCGUUGCUUGCGAUGGAAGUAAUGUCGUUGUUGGCCUUACGGGUCACAGGGAAAGCAGCGGAGGACUUAAGUCCGGUGAAAGGUGCGACCAUUGUGGCCUGAGCCGGAGAAGCGACCAUUGUAGCGGAAGAGAGCAUAGAGGAAGCCAUAUUGCCUUUACUCUUUUUGUGUGUGACUUAGGUUUGGUCUAGUGCUUUGGUCAUCUAUAUAUAAUGGUAACAACAAUGAUAACAAGGUGAGGGAGUGAUCGGAGGGCUCA
rnacentral:lncRNA from 1 species